GUUGCGCUUGGUGACGGGGGACGCGGGGCCGCAGCGCACUGGGCCGGCCGCAGCGGAGGAGGACUCGGACCGCGGGUGGCUGUGGCGGCGGCGGCCCGGUAGCCGCGGAAAGAUUGGGCGCGGCGCGCGGCCCAGGAUGAAGGGCCGUGGCGGCGCGGCCCGUGUGCAGCCGGCCGGUGAGAACGCGGGUGGUGGGCGGCGCGGCCGGGAAGAUGGCGGAGAGGUUGCGCUGCGGCCCGGCGUCCGGGCCCGGGCGGAGGCCCCGGCAGGCCGGCGCAAGGAAUUCGGUCCUGCAGAGACCGAAGAGGCGCGAGGGGCCGGGCGGGAGGUGCCGAAGCUGCGGGUCGGGCCGCGAGGGGACGAGGCACACGCCGCGGGGUGUGAGGGUGGGUGUGAGUCCGCGAAUGUGCCCGGCCCGGGGGUGCGUGAGUGUGCCCCUGCUCGAGGAUGGGCAUUCUAAGUGUGAGGGGCGGGAAUAUGGUUGUGAGUGAGCCGGAUCUAGGGGUCGGAGUGAAUGCUUGUGUGCCCCUGCUCGAGGAUAGCGAUGAGUGUGAGAAUGCAUGGCCGGAGGGUGGUUGUGAUUGUGCCCGGCUUGAGGGCGGGUGUGUGUGUGUGCUGACUGAGGACAGGUGUGAGUGCGUGGGCCCCCAGCAGGACAGGUGUGAGCGCAUGUGUGCCUGGCCCUGGACAGGUGUGAGUGCGUGUCCCUGACCAGAGGAUGGGUGUGAAUGUGCCCAGCACGAGGACAGGUGUGAGUGUGUGUGUGCUCCGGCUGCAGACAGUGUGAGUGCAUGUUUGCCAGGCUCAGGGACAGGUGUGAGUGCAUGUGUGCCCGGCCUGGGGACUGGUGUGAGUGCAUGUGUGCCCGGCCCGAGGACAGGUGUGAGUGUGAAGGUGCUCUUCCUGAGAGGGACGACAUCCCAUUCCUCCGGGUGAGGUCGGAUGGGACCAGGUGGUGGCCGCCGGGCGGGGUUCCAGCGGGCAUUGGCUGCGACCCCGAUCGGGCUUUGUCCUCCGGGCCCGGGGAGUCGGUGGGCGUCUCCAGGCCGGGUCAUGGCUGCCUGCGCGUGGCGUGCCUGGGUUCCGUGGCCGGCCUCUGCGGCAGGGGCGGCUUGCCCUUUCCGGGGUCUCUGGAGCUGGAGCUUCCUCGGCACAUCACGAGGGCCGGCGUGGUGUGGGUGGGGGCCAAGAGCCUGUAGUCCGGGCCUGGACAUCUUUAUUUUAAAACGUGCAGCCGGCUCCAGGCGCGGCAGCUGUGGGUGUGUUCCAUGCUGCUGCUCCUCACCGCAGCUGCUGUGGGCGCUGCGCAGCCUUCAGCGGCAAAAAUGCGGCUGGACCCCCUCCCCCUUCAGUGUUGCGGGGGGUUUGACCAAGCCUCCAGUGACCUCUGCAGAAAAACCUACAGUUGCAAGGCUUCGGUUCCUCCCUUGGUGCAGACAAUACGGACGUUUGUCUUUGAAAGCCAGGGAGGGGAAUUGAGCAUUGCGUCCUGAGUGCCUUCUGGAAACAGCAGGUGGUUCUGUUGGCUGCUUCUCUUUCACAAUGAGCCUGGGGAGAGAGGAAGAGUGAUGGAGGUUUGACGGGACAGCCCAGGAUCCAUUCAUUCCUUAAGCCAUCCUGGAUGCCCGACUGCUGGAAGGAAUGAGAGGCGCCUCCCUCCUGCGCUUGGUCUAGUGAGCUGGGGAAGAAGGGACAAGAGGGUUUUUCUGGAGCCAGACUGACCGCUUUUGAGUCUUGACUCUUCGUUUACUGGCUCUGUGGUUUUAGGCAAGUACUCUUUGGCUUUGGUUCUUCAGCUGUAAAAUGGGUAUGCUAAGUAGUACUGGCUCCGGAGACUUGUUGUGAGUGAACUAAAACUUGCAAAACCCGUUGUCCCUGGCACUUGUAUUUUAAAAAGCUAGGGAAUUGUUCUUACAGCCAAGGUUCUGGCCUGGCAGGGUUAGGUGUGGGUGGGAUUGGGUGCUACAGGGUGCAUGUGCUGGAUCAUGGGCUCUUCAGUUAUCCCCAGCACUAUUGGUAGAUAGUGUAGUAUUAAACGAGUUUGAAAUUGGGGUCUAUUGCUUCUUCCACAAACAAGCUGAGAUUAUAUUAGGAAAAACAGAUUUUUAUAAAGGUAAAAGAAGGAAUCUUGUGUACUUACGUAAGUUAUUAUAUAGAACUGUUUUUAAAAAUAUCUUCAGAGAAAGAGUGCAUCUAAUGAACUAUCUUGGAAUACCAUGGAACUUUCUGUCCUUGGUUAGGUAGGAUUGUUCCUGGGUAAGGUCCAGAGGACUGAGUCAAACCUCCAAAGCCAUGUUGCUCUCCACAGAGUUGCUUUAGUGUAGCUCCUUAAAAUAAACCUUAGGUGACCAUGAGGAUGUGUAACAUAAUGAAAACUUGAAUUACCAGCACAGUGAUGUUCUUCUUUCCUCAAACUGUUGGAAUAAGUGAAGAGUUGCUUUAGAGCAAAGUGGGGAGAAGCCAUAUGUUUUCCAAGGAGAUGACUGUCCUUAGAUCUGAUCAUCUCUUUCCUCUGUAUCUUAGAUAUAUUCAUUUUUCUUUUUGGUCCCGGGGAUUGCCCCCAGGGGUGCUUUACCACUGAGCUACAUCCCCAGCUUUUUUAUUUAGUUUUUUUUUUGUUUGUUUUCAAUUUAAUUAUAGCCCACAGGAGACUGCCUCCCUGUUUUGUCAAUAAAGUUCAUUGAAACAGCUACAUUGCUUGUUUUUGUAUCGUCAGAGGCUGCUUUGGCAAAUUGAAUAGUUGUGACAGGCUGUGUGGCCUGCAAAACCUGAACCCUCCACUUCCGGUCCAGUCACAGGAUAAGCAUGCUUCAGAGAUUCUGGAGGGAGGUGGCUGCUAGGCUUUGACUGCAAGGAGGCAACACAGGCAGAAAAUGUUUUAGAUUUAGGAGCAAAGGAAAGAAGGUGGUUUAUAUGUGUUUAAAGUUUGUAUAAGUUUAAAGUUUGUAUAAGAAAUAAUGGGAAGGCUGAGGAUGUGGCUCAAGCGGUAGCGCGCUCGCAUGGCAUGCGUGCGGCCCGGGUUCGAUCCUCAGCACCACAUACAAACAAAGAUGUUGUGUCCGCCGAUAACUAAAAAAUAAAUAUUAAAAAAUCCCCCCCCCUCUUUAAAAAAAAAAAAGAAAUAGUGGGAGGUGAGGAUGAUGAUAGAAAGAUCUCUGCAUUUAGGUUGAUGACUUCAGAUUUUAAUAUUCUAGCUAGUAAAGAACCAUCACAGGGAUGUGAACAGGGACUUUCCUGAUGAGCAGUGACAGGUGGGGUGGCCUAGAGAGGAAUCAGUCCAGAUCAGGGUUUUGGGACAGGUUUCUCUGGGCAGUAGUAGCACAUUGCCACUGUGUUUUAUGUGACUUCAUCUUAUUUCCUGCAUACAUUCCAUUUGCUUGUGAUUUUGCUUCGAGACCCAGGACCAAUGCUUAUGUGGGACAUGCUUGUUUUUAUGGCAUGAGGAAACUCAGUUUCUCAUCAGAUUUCAUCUUGAAUUGGCAGCUCAGCUUCUAUGAGCUACAGAAGGCAGAGCCCUCUUGCAGGCAAGAGAUUAAUGUGUACUGGAGAUAAUACCAUGAUCCUCACCCCAGCCCCUAGCCCUCCACAAAAAUGAUUGAGCCUGCUUCCUGCCAUCUGGGUGGCCUCACAUGGAUGGGAGUUAAGGUACAGCUAAAUAGCUCUCCUCUCUAAGGCUUCUCAGACUCAGUACCUGCUCUUUGGGCCUCUGGUGCUCUGAAACUUCAGUUUGUUUGAGGCUGCUGGAAGCCUGGCUUCCUGAUCUGUGUUCUCCUUUGGCUUUGAACCCCUCACUUUCUUUUCCACAUAGUUGCUCAGGUGACGUGUGCUAAGCCAUGGUCUCACCCAGGUAUUUGGCAAUAUCUGGUGAUGCUUUUGGUUUCCUUUACUAGGAGUGUGAGACCAGGGGUGCUGAUAACUCCUACAGCCCAGGGUGGCACCCAGCUUCCCCAGAGCCUCCUAGACUGUACUCCAGAACCCCAUGUGUUCUUUUUUUUUUUUUUUUUUAAUUUUUAGUGUUUAUUUUUUUUUUAGUUUUCGGCGGACACAACAUCUUUGUUUGUAUGUGGUGCUGAGGAUCGAACCCGGGCCGCACGCAUGCCAUGCGAGCGCGCUACCGCUUGAGCCACAUCCCCAGCCCCCCAUGUGUUCUUGACCUGCUCUAACUUCAGUGAUGCAGCUUUGUUGAGGCACUGGGCCAAGCCUUGCUUGGUGUUUCUUCCUUCAAAACAAGCAAAGCUCAUGUGGCUCCUUCAGAUCUUUGACCCUGGCUGAGGCAGCAUCAGCAGGAGUCCUUCCCCACCUCCUUCAGCACCCAUUUCUGUACCUCCCAUCUCCUGUGGGCUCUGGGUGGUGGUUUUGGUCCCUGCACAGCCACACCUGUCUCUGCCUGGUCUGGGAAUUCCUUGAGGAUAGCAUAUACAUAUAUUCUUGAUGUCUUGUUGUAUGUUGCCUUUAACAUCAAUAAAGAUGGGUGGGCUUGAGCUGGGUGCUGUAGUGCAUGCCUGUAAUCUCAGUGGUUUAGGAGACUGAGGCAGGAGGAUCGACAGUUCAAAGCCAGCCUUAACAAUUUAGUGAGGCCUAAGGCAACUCAGUGAGACUCUGUCUCUAAAUAAAAUAUAGAAAAUGCUUGGUGAUAUGGCUCCAUGGUUAAGCCAUAUCCCCAGGCUUGGUACCCUGGGUUCAAUACCCGGUACCAAAAGACAGAUGGAUGGGUUUGGGCUGAUGAGUGCCCAGAAAGAAUGGUCAACAAGCCCAGGAGUUAUUUUCUCCAUUUUGGCUGCAUCCAACUGACUAUGGUUUCUCUCAUCUUAUGUUUCCUAAGUAUAAAUUGUUUGAUUCUCAACAGAUUCACUUUAUUAUUGAUUCCUGAAAGUUUUAAUUCUAUAUCUUUUUGAACAGAUGAUAUGCUCACAUGGUGCAAAAGCACAAAGGGUGCUCAGCAGAGCUUCCUUCCUUUCUCCCCAGAGCCUGGCUCCCUGGAGACCUGUCUGGACCAGCUUUUCCUAUCUCCUUCUGGAGAUGCUUUGUAACUCUGUAGGCAAGCAUGUGUUCUUUUUUUCCUAUCCUUUUAAAAACCUUUGUGACCCUUGCCUUUUUCACCUAUGUUUGAGAGGCCAUUUUUCAGUACUUUCUUUUCCAUGGCUGUGCCUUCUUCAGUGUGGACAUGCUGUAAUUUAUCUAACCAGCUCCUGCUAGUGAACAUUAUGUUUUGUGCAGAUAGAAAUGAGGUUGCAGGUACAGCAUUUUCAGUGUGUGGAUGUGCCUCUUGAUGCACUCCUAGAAAUAUUACUUAUGUCUUCAGUCGUUUGUUUCAUGACAUUAGGUUUGCUCUUGUCCCUGAAUGUCUUUAACUCUGUACUUCCUUUGGUCAUAUAUUUCUCCCAAUUAUCUAUCUCUGCAUUUUAAAUACUAAAGUAGGUCUAAACAAAUGAGUUUCUCUCUUGGAAAUCAGUCACCUCUUUUAUAUAUAUAUAUAUUUUGGUUUUAGGUGGAUACAAUAUCUUUAUUUUUAUGUGGUGCUGAGGAUCGAACCCAGUGUCUCACACGUGCUAGGCAAGCACUCUACCACUUGAGCCACAACCCCAGCCCGAAAUCAGUCACCUUUUAUGUGUUCUUAUGGCUAAGAGACAGGAAAACAUAUGUCCACCCAGAAUAUUGUCCAUGCAUAUUCACAGAAACAACCACCAACAAGUGGAAACCAUCCAUGUAUUAUCCAAAGGCCCAGUGAGGUGACACCCGUUAUCCCAGCUACUUGGGAAAGUGAAGUGGUGGGAGGAUGCUUGAGCCCAUGAGUUUUAACUAGCCUGGGCAACACAGCAAGACCCCAUAUCAAACCAAAAACAAGCGGGGUGCAGUGGCGCACAUCUGUAAUCCCAGUGUCUCAGGAGGCUGAGGCAGGAGACUCACGAGUUCAAAACCAACCUCAGCAAAAGUGAGGCACUAGGCAACUCAGUCAGACCCUGUCUCUAAAUAAAAUAUAAAAUAGUGCUGGGGAUGUGGCUCAGUGGUUGAGUGCCCCCCUAAGUUCACUCCCUGGAACCUCCCUCCAAAAAACCCCCAAAACAACAAACUAGGAUUAUAGGUAUCCACCACCAUGCUCAGGAGCCCAAAAACUCUCACGUGAAGUUGACAAGGCCAGACCUCUGAUGGAGUACACAGUGGACAGUGCUCACACCCCAUGGCAGCUGCGCAGGCAGUAUCCACCACAAAACAAUACAAAUGUCACCAGUAUGAGAGUGGAUGAACAACAUGUGAUUAUAUCCAUAGGAUGGAAUAUUACUUGGCAAUAAAAGAAAUGAAUUAUUGGUUUGUUUGCAUCAUGGAUGAACAUUGAAAAUACUGUGCUGAGUCCAAAAAAAAAAAAAAAAAGGAAAACCAGACACAACUGGUCAUGGUGGCACACAUCUGAGCACAGUGGCAUACACCUGUAAUCUUAGUGACUCAGGAAGCUGAGAUAAGAGGAUUGCAAGUUUGAGGCCAGCCUCAGCAACUUAGGCCCUAAGCAACUUAUUGAGACUUGUCUCAAAAUAAAACAAAAAGGGCUGGGGAUGUGGCUCAGUGGAAUAGUGGUCCUAGGUUCAAUUCCCAAUACCAAAACCAAAACAAAAAAACCCCAAACAACCAGACACGUUGUAUCAUUACAUUUAUAUGAAAUUUCCAGUAGAGCCAUAGAAAAAAAUAGUAGAUUAAUGGUUGCCACAAGCUGUGGGAAUUAUAGUUAAGAGGAGUAGAGUUUCUAGGGUAUUGAAAAUGUCCUAAAUUGGCACGAUACAGCUUGCCCAUGUCUGUGAAUAGAACAAAACUGUACACUUUCAAUGGGUGAAUUGUGUGUGAGUUACAUCUCAGUGAAACUGUUAACAAAAAGAGUAAGGGCUGGGGAUAAAGCUCAGUUGGUAGAGUGCUUGCCUUCAUGCACUAGGCCCUGGUUCGAUCCCCAGCACUAAAACACAAAAGCAAAAACAAAGGUAAGCAAGAUUUUUCAGAAGGGAGUGUUUCAUGGUGGGAGAUGAAGGCUGGGUGGGGACCACAGAGGGCUGUGGUGGGGGGCUGUGAUGUGGACUCAGUCUUGGGUACUGAGAUGAGACCCGGGGCCCCAGCAGGCACUGCAGCAGCUGCCACGCAGGUGGGACAGAGCCUUGAGUUACACUUGGACUCCAUCAAGGGCUAGUUGUGUCGUUGAUUGUAGAUACAUCACUGACUGACUACAUCCUGCUCUGUCUGCAGGCUAGACAUCUGUGCUAUCUUCUGUCCAGGGUCAUUGUGUAGUUGAAGCUCGACCAAGUUUGGGAGGACUCUGUAAAUUACUGGGGGUUAUAUAUAAUGUUUUAAAGAGUUAAAACAUGGGGCUAGGGUUGUGGCUCAGUGGUAGAGCACUUGCCUAGCAUAUGUGAGGCACUGGGUUCGAUCCCUAGCACCACAAGUAAAUAAAUAAAAAAUAAAGGUACAUCGACAACUAAAAAAUAUUUUUAAAAAAGGAGUUAAAACAUUAGUUUUACGAGUAAGAGGCUGAUGAGCCAAUAGUACUUUUUCUGCCCUCUUGCAGGCUGAUUUGAGACAAACACCAGAUGUAGUGAGGUGUGGCAGGGACCCCUGAAGCCCAGGUGCUGGGCAUGGGCACCGACCCCCUGCCUGGCCCAGGCAUUCAGUUCUUUUUCCUUUUUUGCCAUGCUUCUUUUCCCUUUUUCUGCUUUUUCUUUGGACUGUUUCUUUAAGCUACUGAAGUCCCCGGCACUAAUCAGAUAGGGUGACUGGUGCUUCCUUUGUGCAUUAGCUUCACAGAAAUGUUUCCUGUUGCAGCCCCCUCCACCAUUCCCUGGGACGUCUUGCUGGCCAACGUCUUCUUACCAGGCAUCAAGAUUGUGCUGAAAUCUGCACGGGUGCAUCUCUCCACCCCACAGGCCGCAUGUUAUGCCUGGCACUGGAAUGUUCCCUUCUGGAGCUCCUGCUCACUCUCAUUAUAAUGGCUUCACUAAUCACAGCGAAGCAGCUUCUAAAACCAGAGAGUUCACAGCAGUGGUGCUGGCCUUUUACCUUGUGUUGGAAUCCAGCUGCAUCCUGGCAUUUCUACUUUUUCUGACCAGAAGUGCUAGAAGCAGCCUAAAGCUCAGAGGAAUAAUGCUGUGGGUCCCAGAGACCCUCAUGUGGGACCUUCCCAGGGAUGCAUAGGAGCCACAAAUGGCUUCUGGGAACAGUGUGGGGCUUCCUGCCCAAGGCCCUGGACUAUAGAACGCUUCUCCAUUGGUUUGGCAGGGCUCCACUGCCUGGCUGGUUCUGUGCUUGCCAGGCCCACCCUUUCUCACCCGACUCUCAUUAUCUCCUGUCCUGCUGUGUGCUCCUGACAUGGAGGAGACAGACAAAGCCUCUGCUGGGGGACACAGGAGCAAGUGCUCACACCCCAUGGCAACAGUGUGGGCAGCAUCCGGGGAUCUGUGACAGCAGGCCCUGGGGGAAGUUGUAUAACUCAGAAGUUGUGGACCCUUAGCUGGUCUUCUAGAGAGAGGAAUCUUGUUGAGGAAGGAAGCUGUUCACCAGGCCCAGAAGAGGCAGCUGUGGGAUGCUGCCAGGGUAAGGAGAAGAUAAGCAGGCACCCAGGGAAUCAGGUGGGCUGUUGUCAGCAGGUAGAAUAGGGCUGUCUCCUAUUCUAUUUUAGUUGUUGAUGGACCUUUCUUUUUAUUCAUUUAUUUAUGUGCAGUGCUGAGAAUUGAACCCAGUGCCUCAUACAUGCCAGGCAGGUGCUGUACCACUGAGCCACAAACCCAGCCCUAUCUUUAAAAUUUUAAAAAUUGCUUUUAAAAAAUUAUAGUGCAUGCAUUAAGAAAACAAAAAACAAUGUCCUUUGUGAAGAGAUGAGGAACAAAGAAAUUUUGAUUUUACCCCAUCCUCUAAGUUUGCCAGUUUUGGGGGAUCCAGGAAUCCCUAGCAUUUUAGAAAUCUGGGAGGAGGUUGAGAAGAGCUGUGAAAAUGAUUCCCUGACUGGCUGGCACCAUCAGCCCGUCUGCGGUUUGAACAUUGCCUUACCAGAAGAUGCCAUGUAGUCUAGAAAAAUUGUCUUGAAGAUAAAUGGUGGCUGCUGGCCUUGUUGUGAUCUGGUGUGUGUGUGUUCAGACACCGUUCUAAGUACUUCCUUGGUUUUAGAAAAUCUAUGACUGACCUGUCUACAUGGUGGAUGUUCUUAGUCAUGUUCACAGAUAGAGCAUGUAGGGCUGGAGAGGGCUGUGACCCAUGCAGGCACUUAGCUGGUGGCAGAACCCGAUCCAUGUCCACUCAGUCACACCUUCUCGCAUGUGUUGUCACCUCCCUGAGCUCAGGGUACAAACACAUAGUUGUCAAUGCUUAGUGUGUCCACACAGACAUACAGUGAGACAGUGCAGUGAGGAGGGCAGGCCAGCCCUUGCCCUCACUGUGCUUAGAGGUCAGUGCUGCAGCAACAUGGAGACAGCUAGGGCCAGGUGGGCCUUGUUCACAAAGUCCAUGAAUUUGAAUGGAGAUGAGCAGGUAGAGGAGGGAAACCACCUGUGGAGAGGGGAGUCUAGGCUGAGGAGACAGCAGUACAAACCAUCCAGCUGGAGCUGUGUAGCAGCCAAGUGCGAAGGCUUGGGCAUUGUGUGUAGGGGUGACCAGGAGGGCCUGUGGGCAGCAGAGGAGUGAAGACAGCAAUCUAGGUGGGGGGCUCCACCAAAGUGGUAAUGAGCUAAUAGGAUGUUGGAACCCAGAGACCAUUUCUAACCUUUUCUUCAUUAAUUUUUAUUGACUUUUGUGGACAUGUUGGGAUUUCCUGGUGGAACUGCAGGUAGACUGAUUUGCAGGACAGUGAGGAGUUGUUGGGGUGUGUCAUGAUCAAACCUCUGAGUGGGGAGUCAUUGUCAUAGAGACAGGAGCAAGCUGUGGGCCUGAGGGAGACCCCCAGGGCAGGGAUGUAGGUAGAGAAGGGGGUCCCCCUAGAUAUGGGCCUCCUGCAGGUCCACAGCCAGGAAGGAGGCUAUGGUACUCAGAGGCCAAGUGAGGAAGGUUAAUCAAGGGAGGAGGGAGAGUGCAUGGUGGAUAAUGGAGAGAAAGGAGUGGUCCAAGGAGGAUAGUGGAGAAGAGGGAGCAGCCUGAGGCAAGUAGUGAGAAGGAGGGAGUGGUCUGAUCCACUGGUGAGGGCAGAGAAGCAGGAUGGGGAACUGCCAUUGGACUUGUAGAUCAUCGUUGAUCUACAUCGGAGGUGUAAGGGAGUGAGGGGAAUAAAAGUACUUUUGGAGUGGGGUUAAGAGAAAAUGGGACAGAAGAAAUCAGAAGUGUUAAGACAGACUCCUUUUUUUAAAUAUUUAUUUUUUAGUUAUAGGUGAACACAAUGUCUUUAUUUUACUUUAUGUGGUGCUGAGGAUCAAACCCAGUGCCUCAUGCAUGCCAGGCAAGCACUCUACCUCUGAGCCACAACCCAGCCCCAAGACAGACACCUUUUUGAAGGGCGUUUGAAGGGCAGUAGGUCACCAGAGUAUUUCUUCACAUAUAUAUAUAUUUAAGAUGCAAGAAAUGGUAGCUGGUUAUGUGCUGAUAGGACCAGUCCUGGAGAGAGGAAGAAGUGGUAAAGGAGGAAACAAAGUCUUACUGGAGGCUGGCUGGGUGGCAGGCAGGUAGUGGUCAUAUGCUAGUCCACAGCAGUCUGUGGGAGUCCUCUGUUUUGUUUUUUUUUUCUCAGAGAAGGAAGCAAACUAAGCAUUGGAGGGAGUAGCAGACAGAAAAGGUGAGAAAUGGGCCAGGAAGGGUGUGAACCGUGAGCUAAUGCAGGCUUGGUGGGGAUUAAGGAGAGACUGGCCAGCUGUGUUUUCCUUUGAGUAUUUAGUUGCAGGCAUGGAAAAGGGGAGCUCUGGGUUGGCCAGGUAAGCCUGGCCGAGGGAGCUGGAACAUAAGGGAGUGAGAGGUAAAAACCCAGAGACCUGUAAAGGGGCCUGCAUUUCUGCUGGCCUGGCUGGAGGGUUAGGGUAAGGCAGAGCCGGUGAGGGGAUGGGAUUUCACCAUCAGAGCUUUGAGAGCCUUAAGUGGUACAUGUGGGGCGACCUCAUCUGAUCAUUCCUGUGGGAAGGCAGUGUGAGCUUGUGUGAUGGGGGCCGUGGUGGUCCAGGAGUGAGAGGAUAGCGACCCCUGUGUUUUCUCUCUUCUGUAGUUCAGGGUUAUCCAUUCCUCUUUUUUUUCCUUGUGGUGCUGGGGAUUGAACCCAGGGCCUUGUGCAAGCAAGGGAAGCACUCUACCCCAAGAAUGCCAGGUGUGCAGCCACAGACUGCAUCAUUCUUGCACUGGGCUAUGGUGGAAGCCCUGGAGAUGAUACCCCUGGGGAGGUGGUGUGUAGAGACAAGGCCUUGAUGACAACACAGAGGGCUUUGGAGCUGGAAAUGCAGGGCAGGAGCAAGGAGGAAUGCUAGCCAGAGUCAGCAUUCAUUCUGAGAUGUCUUAAAUGGUUUUAUUGAGAUUAUAAUAUGUAUGCCCAAAAUUCACCUAACCAAAAAUUUGAUGCUUUUUAGAAAAUUUACAGAGUUAUGCAAUCAUUACCACUGUAAAAUUUGAAAGCAUUUUCAUAACCCCAGAGAGAUUUUGUGUGUUCACUUCCAGCCCAAUGCAGGCAAUCACAAACCACUUCUGUCUGCAUAUUUGCCUUUUCUGUGAGUGGAAUCCUGUAAGAUUGGCCUUUUGUUGUCUGACUCUUUUGCUUUAGUGUUUAUUCCAUUGUACUGCUAAAGUGUCCAUUGAGCAUGUUCACCAUGUUUUGUACCUAUGGUCUGGUUAACGAGCUUCGGUUGUUUCAUGAGAACUGUGCAUGUACAUGUCUGCACAUAGAUGAAACAGGGUCGUGCUAAGUUGUCCAGACUGGCUUUGAGCUUGUGAUCCUCCUGCCUCAGCCUCUUAAGUAGCAGGGAUUACAGGCUGCACCAUUGCAUUUGUCUUCUUGUCAUUUCUCUUCUCAUUUCUCUUGGGUAGAUUCCAAGGAGUAGAACUGCAAGCCGAAUGGAAAAUGCCUGUCUAACCUCUGAAGAAACCACUGAACUGCUGCCCCAUCUUGCUUUCACAGCAGGUCCCAGCAUCCGUUCCCCCACCCCAGCAGUGCUCACCUGAUUUGGGAUUCCAGCCCUCUUAGUGGGUGUGAGGGGUGGGUGUCUGGGUGUGGGUUUGACUUGGAGUUUCCUGAUGAUCAGUGAUAUUGAGCAUCUUUUCAUUCGCCUGUUGUUCAUUCAUGUAUUUUCUUUGGAGAGAUGUCAGUUGAGAUCCUUUACUCAGUCUUUAAAAGGGUUUCUUUUUUUUUCUUGUUAUUGAGUUGUAACAGUUUUUUUUUUUUUUUAUGUAUUUUUUAGUUUUCGGUGGACACAACAUCUUUUAUUUUUUAUUUUUAUUUUUUUUAUUUUUAUGUGGUGCUGAGGAUCAAACCCAGCACCCUACGCAUGCCAGGCGAGCGCACUACCACUUGAGCCACAUCCCCAGCCCUGUAACAGUUUUUUAUAGUUGUAAAUGCAAGUUCUUUGUCAGAUGCAUGAUUUGUACAAUUUUUUUUUUUUCCUGUCUGUGGCUUAUUUUUUUUUCCCUUAAUUUCCUUUCCUCUCCUCUCUCUCUCUCUCUUUUUUUUUUUUUUUUCAUGGUACUGGGGAUUAUCCAGGGAUUCUACCUCUGAGCUACAUAUUCAGCCCUUUUUAUUUUGACAGGGUCGUGCUAAGUUGUCCAGACUGGCUUUGAGCUUGUGAUCCUCCUGCCUCAGCCUCUUAAGUAGCAGGGUUUACAGGCUGCACCAUUGCAUCUGUCUUCUUGUCAUUUUCUUUCUUUCUUUGUACCAGGGAUUGAACUCAGGGGUGCUUAACCACUGAGCCACAUCCCUGGGUCUUUUUAUUUUUAAUUUUUGACACUGAGUGUUGCUGAUACUGGCCUUGAGCUUGCACUUUUCUUGCCUCAGACUCCCAGGUUUUUUGUUUUCUUAGUGGUACACUUUAAGGCACAAAAGUUUUGAGUUUUGGUAAAGUUUAUUUUAUCUAUUACACCCUCUGUCACAUCUGCCUUGGGUGUUGCAUAUGAGAAGUCUUGGCCCUUCAGAAUACUGAGAGCCAGUUUCUGUAGUCGGUUUAGCAACAUGGAAGUUGCUGGUGAUGUCAGCAGUGCAGGGUUAUGCUCACUAGUGUAGGGUCGCAGCAUCAGUGAAAGGUGAGGUGGGAUCCUGUGGUGGCGACAGGGACACCUGGGCAGAGGGUGAGGGAGCCCUGUCUGGAUUAAUGUCUUUAAGAUGGAGGAGACAGGAAUGUUUUUAAAUGCUGACAGGAAGGGAGAGGCAAGGAAUAACUGAUAGCAUAAGCUUUCAAGGAAGGAGGAAGUCAUUUGUGUGGGUUUUCUUUUUUUUUUAAUAUUUAUUUUUUAGAUGGACACAAUAUCUUUAUUUUAUUUUUAUAUGGUGCUGAGGAUCGAACCCAGUGCCUCAUGCAUGCUAGGCAAGCGCUCUACUACUGAGCUACAACCCCAGCCCAUUGUGUCAAUUUUCUAUUGCCUCCAUAACAAGUCACCACAAAUUUAGCAGCUUCAGACGGUACAGCCCUGUCCUGCAAGUUUUGUAGGCAGGGUGUCUCUGAGGGUGUUCUGUGCCUUUGGGGUUAGGUGUACAGAUGCUGUGAACCAACAGUGAGGAGGCUUGUGCCAUCCUCCAUGAAGGCUGCGGUGGUGACCAUGUGAUGUGUGCCUGUGGGGUUGCCAGCAGGAUGUGACUGUGCUUGAUGCACCUAUUUCCCUGCCUGAGGACACAUGCUUGAUGCCUGUAUGCCUUGGGUCCCUGUAAGGCCAGCUGUCUGUGGCAGGAUCUGGGGUGAAUCCCAAGUCAGCUUGUCUCUGGUUCACCUUCCAAGCACAAACCCAGAACCUUGGCUCUCAUCUUGGGCUCUGCUUUUUUCUUUUUGGUUCUGGGAAUUGAUCCCAGAGGUGCUUAACCACUGAGCUACAUCCCCAUGCCUUUUUAUUUUUUAUUUCAAGACAGAGUCUUGCCAAAUUGCUUAGGGCCUCGCUGAAUUGCUGAGGCUGGCCUCAAACCUGGAAUCCUUCUGUCUCAGCCUCCUGAAUCUUGGACUCUACUUUUGGAAAAGCCCUAUGAAGACUGAGUAUAAGCAGCAGGGGACCAGGUCCUGGUGGUCUUCCUUAGCAGACUUGGACUUGCCAGUGGCCUCAGAUAGUAUCCAGGCAGAUGUGCUUUCAGAUGCACUCAGUGCAUUUCCCACUUAACAAUAUUUCAGUCCAGGAUGAGCUCAUAAGGGACGUAAGCCAUGGCAAGGGAAGGAGUAGCUGUGGUUCCUCCCCCCAAAAUCUCUGCCCCCAUAAGGCCAGAUACUGUGCUUAAAGCUCAGCAGUCUGUGUAGUUUUGUGCCUGUGACCCUGUGAUGGAGACUAACCCUUUGGGUCAUGUUUGAAAAGCUGCUCCCAGAGGGGUGCCCACACACAGGCAUCUUGGUCUGGGAACUGGCUUCCCUGCUGGGUUAGGAAGGAGUCUUCAGAGCCCCUGCCUCCAUCUGAUACUCAGUAACCUCACUUAAAGACGAGAUGGGUACUGUGGUGCACGCCUGUAAUCCAGCGAGUCAGGAGGCUGAGGCAGGAGGAUCGCGAGUUCAAAGCCAGCCUGAGCAACUUAGCAAGGCCCUAAGCAACUCAGUGAGACCCUGUUUCUAAAUAAAAUAUAACAUAAAAAAUAUGAGAAAGACAAACAGCAAGUCAGUACAGAUGAAGAGUGAGGGCACCCCAGUGUUUCUGCCCAUCUCCUCAGGCUUGAUGGAAACAGCCAGCCACAUGGAAAUUGUUGAUGUCUGAAGCAAAAAGGUGGCUGGUUGCAGCAGCAUUUUGAGGGGUGCUGUCUCCACACCGGCCACCUGGCCUGUCCUACCAAUCAGGGUGGAGUGGUGCUCUGGGAGUGCCUGAGAAGGGCAGUGGUCUUGGGAGAGCCACAUCCCCAGCCCUGCUGUGGGUAAUUUUUAAAGAAAGCACAUUGGCUCCAGGUAAGGGUUUCUGACUGGACACAGGCAAAUGCUUUCUCUCCCAAAAACUGCUAAAUGAAUGCUAAACUGAUAUUUUAAAACUUCACAUGGGAUGGUCAAAGUGGGAGAAGAGACAAGAGUGAUGGAGUUCUGGAAGCUAGAAUGCAGACAAGAGAGUGGCAGUUCACUUAGCGUAUCUGAGGAAGCCAGAUCAUGUGCUGGCACUGAGGGAAGCAGAUGAUGGGUUCCACCUGUGCUGCAGAACCAUCAGAAUUCUUCAGCAUCAAGCUGGGUGUGGUGGAGUGGCACACGCCUGUGUUCCCAGUGGCUGGGGAGGCUGAGGCAGGAGGGUUACAAGUUGGAGGCCAGCCUCAGCAACUUAGUGAGGCCCUAAAUCAACUUAGUGAGAUGUGCUGGGACUGGGAAUGUGGCUCAGUGGAAGAGUGCUCCUAGGUUCAAUCCCCAGUACCACCCCCUACCACCCCACCCCCCCAACAAAGUCACAAACAUGGGAGGUACAAGGGAUGUAAAAACCACAAAGGUAAACAGAAGACAAGGUGUUAACAAGAGUGAUCAAGAAGGUUUGAGAUGAUCUUGGAGAACCUCUAGAAACAAACAGUUGUUGCGUCCCAUGACUGAACACUCAAGGUCACUUCAGGUGAUCUGGGCUGCACAAAAUAAUCACACAGAGACAGAGAAAUACCUUUUUCUUUGGGUCUUGUGACGGCUCCUCUGACCUUAGGGGUCCAUGGAAAGAGAGUGAGGAGCACGUGCUGAACCCUUUUAUUGGGAAGAAGCCAUUCAAAUGAGGCAAGGGGUAGGAUUUCAAAGGAACAGUUGAGUGUAACUCAGCCCCUGCUGGUGACACCUACACCUGGAGCCAUGCCUCAUUAUCAGAGCUGGGCAGUGCCCAAGUCACUGCUACGUGCACUGCCAUGACAGACUAAGGCAACAAUUGGUCAGAAGCUGGUAUUUCAGGACUUAAGGGUGUUUGCAUCCAGGGCAGCUCCCGACAAACAAUAGUUGAAACUUAUAAAAACUUCCCACCAAUAAGGCUGGAGUAUACUCAGUGGUAGAACACGAUCCUUAGUACACGCAAGGCCCUGGGUUCCACCCAGUACUGCAGAAAACAAAGUUCCACCAAUAGGCUUAGUGUCCAGGUGCUCAUGGUUGAGAGACUAGAAGACAUUUGUCAAGAACACAGCAAAGAUGGUUGAUAAGAUGGGAAAAUGACAGUGAAGUUGGUUGAAAUGAGGAAGAUUGGAUGUACGACUUUAAGAUACAUUUGAUUUCAGCCCCAGAAGGGAAAAAUAGAAUGGAAAAGAGGUAAUAUUUGAAGAUCUGUCAGCUUCAGAAUAUUAUAGAACUGGUAAGAGAUUUGAAUCCAUAGGUGGUGAAAUUAUAGCUUACAGUUAUCCCCUUGUUCCGUGAGGAUACUGUCCAAGUCCCCCAGAGAUGCUGAAAACGCAGAUAGCACCGCGCCUCAUCUAUAUGCUAUGUUUUCUCUUAUACCUACAUACAUAGUCUAGUAUCGUCCCUCUAACUAGCUUGUGUCAUUCACUGUGGCCAUGCCUUUAUAGUUUGAGGUGCACCAGCAAAACUAGCAUGACUUUCUUUUUCCUUCACCACAAUUCCUUGGGUAGAUUUGUUUGUACUAUAGCUGUUAGCCAACUCAGCACUCAGUUUUCUCUCUUUCCUCAUGUUGUGAACUUUGACCUUUUCACUUAAAGGAAGCAUUUUACAACUUCUGUUUGGCUCAACUGAAUCACCAGUGUCACUGCUCCUGCUUUGAGGGCCAUUAACAUGGUUCUUACUGCAGCACAGCCUCCCAGAGCUGACUAUUGAAGCCAUGAUGGUCUUUUCAACUUGCCUGAAAUACCGCCCUUUUUAAUUAUGCCAGAAAGUGAAGCCGGUGGCCUUUGGGCCCUUGUGGCAGUGGGAGCAGCAGUAGUUGCUUCCCAGAGGCUCUGCAGGGGAGUCAGUUCAUGCUACACUGCAGACUCAUACUUUUAUGAUUACUGCACUUGAAGCUACAAAUUUUGAAAGUAUUCUACUAGCAAACUGUACAAACAGUUGAAUACUGGCAGUUAUUACACCAUCCAAAAGGAACCAAUUAAACUCAUUUGUUCCAAUAUCUGAAAGACUCCUGGCAGUGCACCGUGGAGUCUGCCUUCCCAGUACUCUGCCCAUGACAGUGGAGCUGUCUGAUGGCUCUUGUGUUGUCUGGGGUACUCUGUAGAGCUCCUGGGCCACAGCUACCUGGCAGGUUUUCUGGGCUGCUCACACAGCGCCAUCAACCUUGGUGGCAUUGUCACCAAAAAUCAGGAUUCGGUGAAAGUUCAGAGGUGACAAGUCUGUGUGCAUUCCAGGGAAGGACUCUGGGAGAGGUUGAGCCAAGACAACACCAUAGGAUGGGUAGGUUUCACUGGCAGGGUGAGCUCCUGGUCCUUCCUUGAGUUUUGGGCCUUGUGCUCAGAUGUUACGGGUAUGAGUGUACUUAGCUGGUAAUCGCCAGCCACAGGGCUUUGCUUAGCUCUACUGGCACCCACAGCAACCCUUAGCUGUUAAAGUAGGUAGGGAUGGCUCCUUGACCCCAUGGCUGGUGCCAUGGGGCAGUGCUAAUGAUGCAUGUUCACCCCAGGCCUAUGCUCACCCUGUUGUAUCAGGUACUAGGACAAUUGAUUUGGGACCAGAAUCUGACAAACCAGAGUCUGCAUAGAAUAGUCUUAGAGUAGCAACAAGGGCAGCCGUUACAUUUCCACAAGGAGCUCUGGCUCUCUAAUGAAGUUGAACUUCUAUCUGUCUGUCUAUCUAUCUAUCUAUGUGGUGCUAAGGAUCGAACCCAGUGCUUCACACAUGCGAGGCAAGCGCUCAACCCCAGAGCUACAGCCCAGCCUGAAGCUGAACUUUUAAGGGCUGGGGAUGCGACUCAGUGGUACAACACUGGCCUAGUAUGCCUGAGGCAUUGGGUCCAAGCUCCAGCCCCUCAAAAAAAGAAAAAAAAAAAUCAAGUUGAACUUUGAAAGGUGAAUCUGCCACUGAAGGUGAAGGUGGGCAGGAACUACUAGAGGCAGCUGAGAGUUAUUGUGCUGACUUCACACCUGCCUGUUUUUUAAUAUUGCACAAGAAUGAAGGUAAGAAAAAUGAUCCUGAGAAUUGAGUUAGCUUUCCAAAUGCUGUGGCGUUUAGGACAGAUAACAGAUCAAGAGUGAUGGAUAGCCCUGUGACCAUGUUGGGGUCUCUCCCUGGUGGUUAUGCUGGGGAGAGCCAGCUGAGGGGGCUGUGGGAGGCAGCAGAGCUGGGCUGGGCUGCAUGUGAGGGAUGAGCUGGUAAGAGUACUAGUCCAGUGUAGUUUGCUGGGGCCUGUGGUGCCUCCAGGACCAGGUUCCAAGGCAGUGGCAGACCUGUGGGAAAGGGUCUGGCCUCCUGGAGGAGGACACAGUCCUGGGCAGUGUAGAGGAAGCUGCAUGUUCUCUUAAGGCAAGACACAAGUGACUGCUGCCUGGGCUAGUGCACAUUCCUGGUGACCAGACUGCUCCUGAGCUAGAUCACAGCAUAUUUGUAAGGCCGCCCCUGAGCAUGAGUCCCAGAUAGACUUGUGCUUGGGCUGCUCUGGCCCAAGGCAUGUCAUGUUUUGUUUCUUCUCUCCGUCAGUUGGAUGAGAUAUUUUGCUUUCCCUUCUCUGGCUUCUUCCCUUAGAAUCCUCUCAGCACAACGGAGGCAUGCAGUAUGCGUGCUCAUGUACCUUCUUUCCAUUUCAUGUGGAGAAGCAGCUGCUUCUGUUGUGUGCCGAUUCCAGAUUCAAUUUAAAACUCAAUGAUUCUGAUUUUUCUGUUGUAAUAUUUCAUGGUAUGAAGCAGUACUCUAACCAAAGCAUGAUUUGAACAUGAACUUGAUGAUAUUGAUAGUUCACUAAAAUGCUUUUAAGCUUCAAAUCAGAAGUGACUGGUUUUUGAAAUGCUAAGCUUCAUGAAGAACUCACUGGGUUGGAUAUAUAGCUCACAUCUUAAAUGAAAAGUAAGCAAAGGGGCUGGGGUUAUAGCUCAGUAGUAGGGUGCUUGCCUAGCAUGUGUAAGCACUGGGUUUGAUCCUCAACAACACAUAAAAAUAAAUAAAUAAAACAAAGGUAUAUUAAAAAAGGAAGUAAAAAAUAUUGUGAUUAGGAAACAUGAUUGCCAGAGUAGAGUAUUGUUGCUUCUUUCUUUUCUCUUUGAAUUUCUAAUACUUGGGAUUAGAUUUGUGAGAAAUAUGCCCAAGAGUUACACAGGCAUCAGUGGCUCUUCUUUCAGCUCCUGAGGCCCUGCCACACAGGCCUGGGCUCAGCACUGACUAUCUGGGCUGUCAUGUGGCCUUCCCACAUGUAGCCCAGCACCGGGGUCCUCAUCCAGCACCGGGGUUCCCCCUGAGGAGAUGGUCCUCUGUAGAGCAUGUCUGGAUGGAGGGCAGUGGUCCAGCCAGCUGUCUAUGAGAGACAGAGGUACCCGCCACCAAAAUUCUCUGGUGUACAUGAGAGUGGGAGACAUGGCUGUGGACCUGGGCCUAGGCUGGGCUCUGCUGUACCAUAUGCCCAGAUGCCUCACUUUGCUGGCUUUGAGGGGACAAGUCUGUGCUCUCACUGGAACUUGUAGCCCCUGUAUAUGCUCAGGCUGCCAGACAGAGGCAGUGCAAGCACAAGUGAGUGCUGAGAUUGUGGUAGAGUGUGGUGGGUUGCUGCAGCCAGAAGAGGCCUGGGCCAGGGCCAGCCAUGGCUGCAGGCAUUUUAGAAAAGAUGACGGGGUUGGAUAUCGAUGGAACAGCAUCAGGUCUCUGGAGGCCAGAUGCCCAGGAGGCAGAAUCCUGCAGGGGAAGGACAAGAGCCAGCUUGCACAACUCAGGGCACCAUCCAGGGCUCCAGAUCAGUGGUUUUUGUUCCCCAAAGUGGAGGCUAGAAGACAGGGUUGGUCAAAGGCUGUCAGUGAUUGGAAGUCUGAAUCCUCUCCCUGGCAUCCUUGUGCUGACAGCUGUCCCCCAUGUGAAUUUUUUCUCUAGAGACAGGUUCCAGGGAAAAGGGAGGUAUUGGUAGUGGUCUCUGGUCCAGUUGAGGGGUGGAAUCCUGUGCCCAGAACCCUGGCAGCCAGGCCUUUCUCUCUGUACUGGGUUCUGCAAUCAUCCCAGAAAGAAACAGAGGUCUUAACCAGUGGGCCCAAGAGACGGUAUAGCCACACUGCAAGGACCAGACACACCGCAUCUCAGAGAUGUGAAACCCAGCUUCCAACAGGACAGACUGGCUCACUUCCCAGAGGUGGACUGUGCAGGGAGAUGAAUGUCAGAAGUCACAGGAGAGUCCUCAGGGUGAGAGCCUGUCCGCCCAUGAAGUGAGCAGGGUGCUGUGAAAGGCAGGAGAGCAGGAACGGGAUCAGGAAGAUGCCCUGCAGAAAGACAGGUAGGAAGGGGUGUGGGUCCAUCCCUGUUUCUGCAACAAAGACUUCAGCCCCAGUGACAGGAGUACAGUAGGUGUCCCUCACAGUCUGGGAGCUAGAAGUCCACAGUGUUGGCCCUGUCCUCCGUGCUGCCUUCCGUGUCCUCGGGUGGCAGAGUAUGUGGACGGUGGGACUUAACCAGGGCCCACCUUUGCACACCAUCAUGUUGGGUUUAGGUUCUAGCAUGUGGAUUUUGGAGGAUGCAAUACCUACAGGUUUAUUUAGGAUGGAAGGGAAGGUAACCUUCCUCUGAGCUGGCAGCUGCCCUUCAGUGGGAGGUGGUUCCUGCAGAUAGGGUGUUCCAUCAACUCUCAGGGCUCCUCAGAUCUGAGAGCUGCCUUAUGCCUUUUUUGGGGGGAGGGGGAGGCGGGCUGGGGCACCGGGAAUUGAACUCAGGGCCACUCAACCACUGAGCCACAUCCCCAGCCCUAUUUUGUGUUUUAUUUAGAGACAGGGUCUCACUGAGUUGCUUAGGGCCUUGCUUUUGCUGAGGCUGGCUUUGAACUCCUGAUCCUCCUGCCUCAGCCUCCCAAGCCACUGGGAUUCCAGAUGUGUGCCAUUGUGCCCAGCUGCUUUAUGCCUUUGUUGGGACCAAAGCUGCUUGGUUCACCCGAGACUGCUGCUGUUUCUUGCCUGGUACUGCCCGUCUUCCUUUCCCAUUUGGCAAUAUUCUCAUGACAGCAGGUUUCUUAUUUAGGGCCCUGGUCCUCUCAUUGCUGUCAGUCCAUGUAUUGGGAAGUGUUUUGUCUGUCCUGUCUGCCCACUUGCCUGGUUCAUUCUUUGUCCCCGAGACUGACUCAGGCACUUGGGUGGGGAGCCUGGCUGAGGGGUGGCUUCAGCCCUUUGACAUUUGUUGAGAGCUUCGUGCUUUGGGGUGUGGUCAGUUGCACAGUUUCAGAAAUUUCCCAUGGGCAGUUGAAGGAAUCAGUAUUUCCUCCCUCUGAUGCAGUAUUCUGCAUGCCCACCAGAGAAAGUCUGGCUGAGUGUGUUGUCUCCCUGCAACAGCACACGUUAACUCUCCCAUGCCUCCUCCUCUGUCCACGUUGCCUUCUGUGCUGUGACGCUGUGCACCAGGUCCAGAGGCACCCAUCCACUGUGUUGCUGAAGCCUUCUGUCAGCACUGAGGGAGCCACACAGCAGUUCCAUUUCUGGCUUUCUGAAUUUCAUGCCUUUAUGUGUUAUUAUUUUUAAAAUUUUAUUUGUUUUGUUUUUAGUUAUCAAUGAAUCUUUAUUUUAUUUAUUUAUAUGCAAUGUUGAGAAUCAAACAUAGUGCUUUACGUAUGCUAGGCAAAUUGUCUACCACUGCACUAUGACCUGAGCACCACUGUUUAUUUUUGGUGGGGAUGGAACCCAGGGGCACUCUGCCAGUGAGCCACAUCCUAACCCCUUUUGUUUUUUAUGUUGAGACAGGAUCUCAUUAAGUUGCCAAGGGCCUUGCUAAAUUGCUGAGCCUGGCUUUGAACUUGUGAUCCUCCUGGCUCAAAGUCCUGAGCAGCCGGGAUUACAGGUGUGCACCACCAUGCCCAGUUCAUGCCCUGCAUUUCAGAUGUGUCUCCUCUAAGAACACAAAGUCUUGCAUCAUUUAAGGAGGGGGACGUUCUGAGAAGUUUUCCGUGAAGUAACCUUGUUGUGUGGACAUUAAGAGUGAACCUAGGGGCAGGGUUGUGGCUCAGUGGUAGAGCACUUGACUAGUACAUGAGGUUCGAUCCUCAGCACCACAUAAAAAAAUUAAUUAAUUAGAUAAAGGUAUAAAAAAAUGCAAUAACAUUUUUAAAAAAGAAAGAAAAAAGAGUGAGCCUUGAUGGGGUGGAUGGCUACAGAGUCACCCAGUCCUGUGGGACUGCUGUUCUGGGUGUUGUGCGGCACAUGACUGCAUCUGGAUCUUUUCUCUUUUUUUAUUAGUCAUUUUAUUUAUUUUAAUUAGGUAUAUAAGACAGUAGAAUGCAUUUUGAUUCAUUGUAUACAAUUGCAGCACAACUUUUCAUUUCUCUGGCUGUACACGAUGUAGCGUCAUACCCCAUGUGCAGUCAUACAUGUACCUGGGGUAAAUGAUUCCACCAUCUUUCCUGCCCCCAUGCAUCUGGAUCUUUGAAGGUCUCGCCUGACAGCCUCUGUCUUUAUCAGACCCCCCUGGUCCAUUUAUAUUUAUUAUGAUUGUAAUACUGUGCUUGAAUUUAUUUAGGUAGGUAGUUGUCAGUGGAUUAUUUGUUUAUUUAUUUGUGGUGCUGAGAAUCAAACCCAGGGUCUCACACAUGCCAGGCAAGUGCUCUACCACUGAGCCACAACCCUGGCCCCUUGAAUUUAUUUUUGCUAUCUUACUUUGUACUGUCCUGUCAUUUUGGGGACAGUUCGCUUUCCUUUUUUGGCCUCUCAGUUAUUUUUUGUUUAUUUUAUUUCUGUUGUGUAUUAGAAUUUACUCACUCAUCUCCAGUAUGGUUACAAGUGGAUGUUUUAACAUGCAGAACCCAUUUAUCAAAAUCUAAAAUUCAUCUACAUUUUUGCCCUCCUUAAAUACCUGAGGCUUUAGAACCUUUGUGCCCGGCUAUGUGCGUCCCAUGGCAGGUCCUGCCUGUCUGAGCUCCAGCCGUCACCGUGUUCACCUACCUGACUUUCAGGAGUCUUGAGGGCGGGAUGUGGCUCUCCUUCCAGCCCACCAUAGACCCUCUGAGGUCUGGCUUCUGCGGGUUCCUCUGUGGAUUUCUUUUUCCCCUGCUUUCAUGCAAUCUGUAAACACAGCUCAAGGUCAGCUGCUGGUCCAGGCCCUCAGAGGCCACACUCUGGUCCCUCCCUUUCUCCAGGUUCCUGUUUUCCUUAAUCUUUGCUCUCUUGAGUUCUGAACAUUCUUGGUAACUUAUCAGUGGAUUUUCUGUGUCACUGGAGGAGCAUCCAAGGAGGUUCCCCAAAGGGGAGAGAGGGACCUAACUUGGCCUGGGUAGGCUCUUGACUUCUUACAGAAAAUAAUUUUGGGCACAUUAGAGUUCAGUGAAAGAAAGCAGUGGGACAGUGUGUGCACUUAGCAAGAGGGAGUAUGCAUGUGAGAGGGGGAGAUCGGCUUUCAGGGUCUUGGGCUCCUCUUUUACAGGGAGCUUUGAGGAAUGGCAUGGCAUUCCUGCUUCUGGAUCCCAAAUGCUACAGUGUCACAUGCUCUCAGGGUCUGGAGUUUGACAUAGUCCCCCAUCUAGAUGGUGGAAUGUGCCUACAUUACAGGUUUCUUAAAAUGCAUAUCCCUUUGAACAUGUAGUUUUGUAGACCAUCAGUGUACUUAAACUUUAAUCAAAAUAGGCAGCUUUUAUAAGCUUUAUAAGGUUUGUAGAUUUUUCAAGAAUAUGGGAGUGACAGGCCCAGAGGAAAAUACUAGUCUGUGAAGUCAGUCAAUCAUGGGCUUUUAGGGCCUCACAAGUCUCCUUCUCUCUCCUUUCUCCUGCAUCUGUCUUCGGGCCCUCUGUCUUGCCUCAGCAGCAGUUCUCGUCUAUUUGUCAUCAGAGGGUGGGUUGAAACCAUGCAGUUCAUCAUUCUGAUAUAAGGCAAGGUUUUCUUCAAAAACGUUGACUUCCAGGCUGACAUUGAAGCAUGGCUCCCGGCCAGGGCUGACUUCUCUCCUGGAGGAAACAUCCCUGGGCACAGAGAGGCCUUUCUCAUUCCUCCCAGUCAGUAGUUGCAGAAGACUGGCAGCUCUGGGAGUCUCCCCAGCCUCUGCCUCUUGCUGGGAUUCAACGUUGUACUAGCCUGAAGACUUUAGGGAAGAGGCUCUGGCAGGUGCAUCUUCUGAAGGAACACGCUUCUCAAGUUCACCAGCAGUUUUCUGAAGCGAUUCCCUCGGGGGCAGCAGGAUUCCCCUGAGUUCUGUAGGAUAAGUGUUUUUUCAUGCUGGCCCUUAACAUUGUGUCAUACAUUAUUACCUUUCAGUCUUCCUGACCAAGUGGUCCUUGCUCAGGACUUCUGAGAAACACACCAGCACACUGGGCCACCCACUGAACUGGCCCUGCCAUGUUUUUGCCUAAAACAGUGGUUGUUUUAUCUCUUAUGAAAACUAGAAAUGAGCGCUCAGCUCCUGUUGGUCAAUGUGCUCAAGAACCUCUAGCAGCCGGGCCUGCAGCAGGAAGCUUGCCAUUGCUCAUGCCCAGAGAGGGCUUUUCUCUCCCUGUUUUGGCUGACCUUGGACUCCUCACUCCUGUCUCUUUCCUUAGUGCUUUUCUCCAAGUGUCCUCCCUGGGGAGGACUGUAUUAUUCUUCCUGCUUCUGGGAGUCGGAGAACUUUGGUCUGAGAAUCUGUUGACUGCAAGUCCUGGGGCCAUAGAAACAACUGUAGAUUUCUGUUGAUGUGUGUGGAGAGGCUCACUAGGAAGACCUCUGGAUGUGGCCCUCCUUGGACACAUGGACAGUUCAGAGAGGAUGUGCAGAUGCGAUCUGGGAUGCUACCUGAACACAGGAAGACUUCCAGUAGUACCACAGGGCAGGUGGCCCAGGGCCACAUUGUGAUAGUAGCCAGGGCAGUGUGGAAGGAGGACAAACCCACAGAGCUCUGGGCAGGCACCUUGAAAGGUGCCAGGUAGUGACCCCAGCUUCCACAGGUCUCUCUUGUCCCUGGUAUUUUCAGAUGCUGUUCAGUUUCCCAGGUUUUCCCCUGGAGAGUGGGAAGGGCCACAAAGAUGGUCUUGGCCUUUGACUUCCCAGCCCAGCCUGGGGCACAGGGGCCACCCCAGUGAAUGAAACUACAGGGAUUCCUGCUGGUCAGUGGCAGGGCUCCUUUCCUGUCCUAACAGUCGCCAUCAAACCAGUACCUGGUGUCCACAUUGCAGGAAUUGAUGUUUGGGAGGUGCCAGGGCAGCCGGGAGCAGCCUGGACCAAAGUCAGGGUUAAGAGGCGCACAGCACAUUUGAUGGUAGGCUCCUUCACACACGUGCCACAGUCUUGUGCUUGCACACAUGUGUACACACAUGCACAUGUGCUCACACAUGGCCCGCCAGCCUUAGACAUGUGUCGGGAGAGAUGGGCGAGGGACGUGGUCUGCUUGAGGUGCUGCCAGCCCCAGAAGCAGAUUUCUGUUUCCGGGGGCUCAUUCUCCAAACAUACCCCAUCAGGGGCUGGCACAGAGUGUCUUCUGUUCCAGAACUCUGUGUAGGAGGUUGGAACCAAGAACCUUCUCGCCUACUCAUGACCAGAGCUUAGCUGCACCGAGGAAUGAGUGGGGUGGGGAGCAGCUAUGGGGUAUGGCAGGAGAGCCUGGUGCUGCUGUGUGAGUGGCUUCUUUCCUGCUCCUGUGUGUCUACGACCAUGCAGGCACUGUGGUCAGUGGACAGGCCUGCUCUGCACCUUCCUGGGACAGGCCUGGCCCCAGCUGCCAGGUGUCUUCUUUCUUUUACAGUGCUGGGAAUUGGAUGUGGGGCCUCAUGCAUAUUGGGCAAAUAUUCUAGCACUGAGCUAUAUCCGCAGCCUAGCUUCUGCCGGUGGUAUUGACAUUGCUCAGGCUAGUGACUCUAGCUGCUCUUUUUGCUCAAUAGUAGAGCACCCCUAGGUUCAAUUCCCAGUACCACAAAUAAAGUAUAAAAUGGGAGCUUAUGUUAGAUUGUAAAACAUAAUCUUGCUCCUGUUCCUGCCCCUUUUUGUCUUUUUAGUGCAUUCGUACUUUUCAGAUGAUAACCUUCUUUCCCAGGGCUCUGACAUGGCCCAUCAGGAGUGAAGUGAGCCAGUCAGGCUCCUGGAUCUCUGAGGGGCCUGCUCUCCUCAGGUGUCCGUCCUGGUACUCAGUGACACUGGGCAGGCAUGUCCUGAUCCUCAGGAGCAAGUGACAGGUGAGAAGGAAGACCAGGAUCAUGAUGUGGAAGUGCCUCUGUGAAGACAUCAAGCAGUCACUUCAUCCUAAAACCAUGUGGACUCACUAAGCAGCCGCCUGGCCUGGAGUUGCAGCAGUGAACAGAGACCUUGUUCUGUGGAGGGUUUUUAAAUGGUCGAUUGUGAAGAGACUUAGCAAGAGCAAUGCCCUGUUCCACAUGGUGCUGUGUGGUGCUCCCCUCCUUCAUAGGACCUUGGUCUUCCCCUGAUCCCAGGCCAGACUUGGAUUGGCACCUAGCAGGAGGAGGGUUUGGGCCGUGAGGUGGGUCUGUGUCCUGAUGCCCAUCUCCAGGAAUUGUCAGGUGCAGGCUGAGUCCAGAGGCUCAGCUGGUGUUUAGGCAGUGACAAUUCUCACACACUGCCAUGAGGUGGCUCCCAACCACACUCUUUUCUCUGUGAGGUUUGGUGGGACAUCUUCCUUUCUCCUUCCCAGAAGCAUUUCCAAAGCAGGUCCUUACUUACGGUAUUGAUCUCACAACUUGCCAACCUGCUGGAUCCCAGAGUUAGACUCAGUGUGGCCCUCCAGGGGAGAGGCUGGAGAAAGCAGCCUCCCAAGGCAGUGGACACCAGGAGUGCCCAGCUGCUCUCUGAGCCUACGCUGUGCUGAGCCAGUCACAGGCUUGGGGCUGAGAGAAUGGGCCAUUGUGCCCUGUGCACAGUCAGGCUUUCAGGGCAUGAACCAGCUCAUUGUGCAGGACUUGGAAAGCUGCUUGUAGACAAUCUUAAGAGUGGAACUUCGGCCUCUGGAAAUGCUAGCUGAGCAAAGACUUGUUCCUCCUAAUUCCUCCUUGAAACUCACUGAAACAAACAAAAAAUGAAGAGCAGGAAACAACAUAUCAUCCACAGUGGUUUGAAGCAGCUACAGCCAAGGAUGCCAGCCAGACAGGGAAGAACAGCCAUGGUGAGCUGGGGGUCGCAGCACUGGGCUCGCAGGACUGGGCUGGCGUUGAGCAAGAAGGGUUGCAAAGCACAGUGCUGGUGAGCACUUGGGCUCAGUGCUGCUGAGCCCUGCUACCAGAUGGGCCUGUGGUUCAGGGGCAGUUUUGUGUGCCCUAGGCUGGGCUCUGUGCUGCUGAGCCCUGCUACCAGACGGGCCUGUGGUUCAGGGGCAGCUGUGUGUAGCCUAGGCUGAGCAUCUGUGAGUGAGGCAGGCCCAAGUAGGCGCUCUACCUGUUUUCAGCAAGAUCCAGACUCCUAAUAGGGUGGGAUGGGACAGAUGUGUUGGCUCACACCUGUGAUCACAGAGGCUCUGGAGGCUGAGGCAGGAGGAUCACAAAUUCAAAGCCAGCCUCAGUAACUUAGACCCAAAUAAUAAAAUAAAAAGGGCUGGGGUUGUGGCUCAUUAUUUAAGCUCCUAUGGGUUUAAUUCCUGUUACCAAAACAGAAAUAAGCAAACAAACUAGGGUGAAAUGGGGAAGGAGAGAAAGGGGGAGUCUUCAACUGCUACUAGGUACCCAUCUUAGCAGUUUCUUAGAUUUGGCUCCCCUGGUGUAUGGGCCAAGAAGAGGCCUCUUCUCCUGACCCUUGACUCCAUUGAACCUCUGAAGUGGGCUGAUAGUCCCUGUCUGAGGAGCUUGGGCCCCUGGGUGUGGUUGCCCCUCCCCACCCCAGAGUACAGAGAAGGGAUGGCCUACGCAAGGAGGCAAGAUGGGGACACAGGCCAGUGCAGGGCCCUGGAUGCCUUCUUAGGCUUUACGUGAGCCACUAGGAAAGAAGCUUCUUGGGGGUCAGUGCAGCUUGGGAGGUUUGGGGUUUGUACAGCCUGCCUGCCCGAGCAGCCACUCAAAGCAUGGAGAGGCCUUAGCCUCCUGAGGGCCCUGAAUGGCGUGGGGCCCAGAGAGCUGCUGUGGCUCCUGUCUCCACAACUAGAGAACCUGCUAAGACCAGAAACUUGCCUCCAGAGAGACCAGGAAGAAAGUUUGGUGGAGGAGCAAUCUGGAAUGAUACCCGGUUUGAGGGCGCUUCCCUUUCCUUAUUUAAAGGUAUAGGAGUUUGGUGCAGCUCAGUGAGAGAGUACCUGCCUAGCAUGCGCAAAGCCUAGGCUCCAUCCCUAGCACCACAAAAUAAAGAAUGAAAAAAAAAAACGUGAUGAUCCAGAGGCCUCAGGCACCCUCAUGUGGACGCUGGUAGGAGAGGAAGAGUAAAGGGAAAGAGCACAGCCGAAAAAGAAUAAACAAAGUUGCAGCCCAGGAAGCAGAAUGGAACCUUCUCUGUAUUAAGUACAAAAUUCAAACUGCAUGAAUAGGGAAGAGAGAGUUCCAAAACAGUGAGCUGGCAGAGCUCGGAAGAACAAACAGUGAAGCCAUUACCGCAUGAGGCCCCCUUAGCAGGAAUAAGGGGCCAGGCUGCUGGGGAGAAGAAUGGAAGCAGGAAGGCCAGCAGGGCGACUGUAGCUCCCAGCAGUUGUGAGGGAUGCCAGAGCAGGAGCACUCUGGGUGAAGGAAGCUGAGUGCACAUUGAAGGGCAGGUUUUACUCCUGGAAGAACUGGCUGCACAAUGACCAACAGUGCUGGGCCUGUGGCACACACCUGUAAUCCCAGCUAGGCUAAGGCAGGAGGAUUUAAGUUUGAAGCCAGCUUGGACACUUAGCAAGACCUCUUCCAAAAUAAAAAGGGCUGAGGAUGUAGCUUAGUAGCAGCACACCCCUGGGUUUAAUAACCAGUACAAACAAAACAACAAGAACAAAAAGACCAGUGUUCCUGAGCAUUUGGGAAAUGUUCUUCCUAUAAACCCAUCCACCUGGCUCACAGCAUCAGUCUACUCCAGAAGGCAGCAGAGCAGAGCCUUACAGUUCUGAGAAGGGGAGAGAAAAUUGUCAUUCCCAGAAUUCACAUGGAGCCAAGUUGCCAUGAGGGUGUGGUAUGGCAGGAAAGCUUCAGGGGGAGCCUGCAGAACCUGUGGAAAACCUCGUCAAAGGUGCAGUAUGUAAGGAAAGCAAACACUGAACUUUGAGGCAGAACAACUGAAAGCUGUGGUUAUAGAAGAGAGUGUGAAGAUUUAAGACUCUGAUAAUGUCUUAAAUUUAAAACAAAUUGUGUUUAGAGAGAAACCAAAGGCUAAGACUACUGCCUGUAAUUUUGAAAGCUAUGCAUGAGUAGAUAAAUGACUAAAAUGAAUAAAGUGAAAAGAAAUUAAAAGGCUAGGCUUUAAUCAUUUUGACUGAAAUUGGGAACAAAACAAAAAUGCUUACUAUUUUGAUUUUACCAUCAUUCUGAACAUUUUUUGUCAGUGCAGUAAGAUAUGAUAUAGCAAUAAUGUUUAUAAAUGUGAGAAAAUUUUCCUGGCAAAAUAAACUAUGUAUUAAACUUGAAUUGGUAAAAAUUCCCUUGGGUGUAGGGUCAGCCUUUAAGGGGAGGAAGCUUGAAAAUGGGGUCAGCCUCCAAGGGGAGGAGACUGGAUUCGUCUGGGUCAGAGUUGGAGCCAUUGUGAAUUCACAUGUGGCAUGUAGCUACAGGUGGAUGUGUGCAGAAAUAGCUGUGGAUAUGUGCAUGCACUCGGGUGAACACAUGCAAGCCUGACUCCUGUGUGUGAGCUGAGAGAGUUGAGAAGCAACAGUCCUUGGAACAAACAUGCCUAGAAAUCAGAUGUUGGUUCUAAUACCAUCCCUGAAUAAAGGGAGCCAGCAGUCCUUGGAGAAAUGACUGAAAUGAUGGGGUCAGGAAGUACAAGAUGAGCCUGGAACAUCUUGCAGAGGCAGAAAAUCAGGAAGAGCCAAAACAAACACAGAACACCACAAUGGCAGUAGUUUGUGAAGGGGCCCCAAUAGUGACAGGAGCUCCCAACCAACAAGCUAGCACUUGGGGCAGAACCCCAAGUCACCCUGGAGUACAACCCAGCGUGUGAAAUGAGUACCCAUAAGUGCCAGCUGACAUGAAUAAAAGACCCCCCCCAAAAAAAGCAAGAAGAACAGAUAAAUCUCCCCUGCAAAAAGAAAACCAUCCAGGGAGACAAGUUUUACCUUCUUUGAACCCAACAAAAUUGUAUUUUCAGGAAAAUAGACCCAUGCUGUAGUGAAAAGUUAAUCAAAAUUGACAUAGAUGUCAUAAUUUGGACAAGGGCCUCUGGAAGGAAGACUGGACAUCUCACAUAUAGACAAAGAAGGUGUCUAGAGACACCAGAUGGAACUAGACCCAGACCCAGAAUGUCCAAGCAUGGAGUACCCUAGUGGGGUUGGUGGUAGAGUAGACAUUGUAGAAGGGAAGAGGAGCAAGCCUGAAGUUGAGUGGAGACACCGUCCACACGGAACAGUCACUGAGGAAACAACAAGCAUCCCUGGGCUGCCCUGGUGUCCAGAGCCUGCUGUGUGCGGAAGGUCAGGAGGAGGCCCAAAGCACCAAGCUCGAUGGAGACACGUUUAAACCCAGAUCUGAUGUCUCAACACCAAAGUGCAGAAGCAACACACAGCAUCUGUACCAAGUUGCUUAGAACCUGUCACAGAGUUGGCUUGAGAGCAGGCAGAGAAGACAUCACGUGGCCAAGAGAGAAAAUGUGGCAAUGACACCUUUCUGUCAGAAAUAAGGCACAAGAAGACUGGUGUCUAAAGCCCCAAAGAAAAGCCUAUUGCCAUGCACAAGCCUCCCGUGUAAAGGUGGGGUGAGGCACUGGCACACCUGCAGAGGCAGGAGUGGCCCAUUUGCAGAGCAGGAAAACUCAGACUCGAGAGGAGACCAAGUGGAUGUGAGUUAUGCACAUGGGAGUAGAGGACAUGGGGUGGUGACCGCAGGUGAAUGCGGGAUGCUUGACUUGUAAUAAGAUGAAUAGCAUUGUGGCAGAAUGAGGGGUGCUUAACAUGUAGCAAUAGAGUAUAGGACCAGAAGGAAAAAAAAAUCCAGGAGAGGAGAAAUAAUAGACUCCUAUAUUUGAAGUGAUAUUAUUUGACUUGAAGGCCAUGAUAGAUAUGAGUACCACAAACCCAGAGGUGUUUACUAAGAUAGUAAUGAAUUCCUGCUAAGUCAACAGUGAGGAUAAAGGUGAACCACAUGACAAUCCAAAGGAAGGCAGACAAGAAGGGCAGAAAACCAACAGCAAGGUGUUGGGCUUAGACCUUGUCUAAGUCCAGUCCCCAAUGCAGCUGGCUCAUCACUGGAGUAGAGCCGACUGUCAGAUGAUGUGAAAAUCAGCACUCAGAUAUUUGACCCACUUUUAAGACUUAAAUAGGCUAAAGUGAGAGAAGGACAAAAGGUGCAUGGGUCUAGCACUGAUGGAAAGUGUGUUGGAAUUACUGUAGCAGCAUCCAAUAUACUGAUUUCAGAGCCAAGAAAACUACCAGGAUAAAGAUAUUUCAUAACAAUAAAGGGGUUAGCAGAGAUACAAAUCCGUGAAGCAAAACCCAGCAGAACUGCAAGGAUAAAUAAGCCCACAGUUCUGUCAGAGGGACUGGCAAUACCUGCCAGUUGUGGAAGAACCAGAGAGGAUGCUCACGGCUGCCGUCAGCCAGGGCAACGUCACCAGCUUUGCAGUGCUCUACAACAAGCAGCACACUUCCAGUGCACAUGGAUGGGAAAGAGGGUAAAUAUUCUUGUCAAAAUGAAUGUUGAAUAUCAAUAUGAAUAUCCAGUGACUAUUCACCAAAAUAGGCUUUUCCUGGGCCAUAAAGUAUCUUAAUAAACUUAACUCCAAAUCAUUUAAAAUAAGUUUCAAAGACCAAAAAAUGGAAUUAAAUUAAAAACCAAGCUGGGCGCUGUGGCGUACGCAAGGUGGGGAGGCUAAGGCAAGAGAACAACAAGUUCAAAAACGGCUCAGAAGUAACAAGGCGUUAAGCAACUCAGUGAGACCCUGUCUCUAAAUAAAAUGCAAAAUAGGGUUGUGGGAUGUGGCUCAGUGGUCGAGUGCCCCUGACUUCAAUCCCUGGUACCAAAAUGAAAUAAACAUGUCUGGAAAGUUGGCAGUUAUUAAGUGACAUACUUCUGUGUAAUUCACAAGUCAAGCAACUAAAAGUUUUUUGAAUCAGAUGAAGACGAAGACAUAGCUCAUCAAAACUACUAGGACAGAGCUGGAGCAGAGGAAGACUCUUUUUCUUUUAUUUUGAGACAGGGGUCUUGCUAAGUUGCUGAGGCUGACUUUGAACUUGCAAUCCUCCUCCCUCACCCUUCUGAGCCACUAUUACAGGUGUGCACCACUUUACCUAGCACAGAGGAAGAUUUUAAAGACCUAAUACCUAAGCUGGAUUUUUUUUUUUUGAAGGGUGUAAAAUAUUAAUUCUACUUUCACCUUAAGAAACUAGAAAAGGAGAAUAAAUUAAAUCCAAAAGAAGCAGGGGGAAAUGAAAUAAAGAUCACAGUGGAAAUUAAUCAAAGCAGAAAUACAGACAAAAUAUUGAGGCCAAAAGCUAUCUUUUUGAGACCAACAAAACUCAGCCCUGUGUGUGUUGAGCACAUUGGUUCCUGGCCAGAAGCCUUCCCACACAGAACGCUGCAUGCCUAGGUGGCUUCACUGCGCUCUAACACACACCUGGGAAAGAAACAAACUCUUGGAAGUCCCCAAGAAAACCACAAGAGGGAAUACAUCUUCACCCAUUUGAUCAUGCCAGUGUUGUCCUGACACUACCAGAGAUACUGCAAGAGGAACAAAAAGACCAGGUUCAGAAACUUAUUUUUUUAGUUGUAGACAGGCACAAUGCCUUUGUUUUAUUUAUUUAUUUGUAUGUGAUGCUGAGGAUUGAACCUUGUGCCUCAUAUGUGCUAGGCAAGCCUCUACCAAGCCCCAGACGUAGAAAUUCUUGACAGAAUUUUUUGCCAGUUGAAUCCAAGAACAUAUGAAAAGGAUAAUUGCAUCGUGACUGUUUUUGUCCAAGGAAUGUGCAGUUGGUUUGAUGUUAGAAAACUAAUCCAUGGGGGAAAAAAAAAAAAGAAAACUAAUCUGUGGAAUUCAACUUAUCAAAUUAGAAAAGGAAAAUCAUGUGAGAAAAAUAUUUUCAGUAGAGAAAAAUAUUUUCCAAAAUCCACCAGCCUUUCCUGAGUUUAUAAAUAACUUGACAAACCAGGAACACAAGGGAGCUCUCUGAACCUGGCAAAAGGCAUGUACGAGAAGCUGCACUCACAUUCUCAGUGGGGAGGACUGGAUGCUUCUCCAGUACUACCAGUGCCCACCCUCACCAGUUCCAUCCAGCAUCGUUCUGGAGGUUCUUGCUAGUGUGAGACAACAGGACCAAGGAGAAGGAUCCGGGCUUGAAGAAGUGAAACUGUCAUGGUUCUCUGCCGACAUGAUCAUCUAUGCAGAAAACUGGUUGAAGCCACAGAACAGCAACUAGACUGGUGAGUUUUGCAAGUUAUGGACACACCACCAAAGUGCAGAAAUAAGUAGCAUCUUUCUGUACUAGAAGCAAACAACUGGAAGUUGUUUUUAGAUUUUUGGCAUAACAAUGGAAAGGCUGGGAAUGUAGCUCAGUGGUAGCGAACUUGCCUAAUAUGUGUGAGGACUGCGUUAGAUCCACAGCACCACAAAAGAAAAGAAGCACAGGUGUGCCAGGACUGGUAGUGGUGCCCGUUGUCCCAGCUACUCAGAAAGCUGAGGCAGGAAGAUCACUUGAGCCCAGUUCAAAAUCAGCCUGAGCAACACAGCAAGAACCCAUCUUAAAGAAAAGAAGGGAUGAAGGAAGGCAGGCAGUCAGGAAGGAAAGCGUGACUGAGGAGUGCAUUUACGAGGUAUGUGUAGAAACUGCAGAACAUUGCUGGAAGGAAGCAGACCUUGCUAGCUGGGGAAAGAGGCCCUGCAUGGCCUCAGAAGACUGCUUGAAUUUCCAGCUGAACCCAGCAGGCUCUGAUGCAGACUGAGAAGCUAUUCCUGAAAUUUGUGUGGGAAUACAAAGACAAACACCCUCAAGACCUCAGGGCACAUUUUGAGGACUGACAUUGCCUGUAGCAUUUUGGGGUCACCAGUGCCCGGUGCCCCAACUGCAGAGUGCUGUCUGGAAAGGAUGCUGGGAUCCAUGUAGAAGGACAGGCGGAGGUGAUCUGGCCCCCACUGCCAGUGCUGUGGGCCGGGCUUGAAGGAAGAAAGGUGCAGGUGGAAGGGGUGGGUCUGAAGUGCUUUGGGCUCUGGCAAAUAAUUGGCAGUGUUUCCAAUUUUCACUAACACUGCCAUUUUACUCUUUUAAAACGUGGAAACCACUCAAGUUCUCCUAUUUUCUCAAGAAAUUAGGAAAAUUUGAAUUAUAUGUUUAAAAAUAGCAUUCCUAAAAGCAAGCAAACAAAUAAAUAAAUAAAAGUCGCAUUCCUAGUCCUCUGAAUUUGAAUGAAUGGUGUGUUGUUAUUCUGGUGGUGUAAGAAGGCUGGAGAGGGACUCGCCACCCAUGCCUGAGUGGGUCUAGUGGGCCUAGCCUGGGUCUCUACUCCACAGGGUACUGGGGGCAUAAAGGUUCUAUAUGCUGGCUCUGCCUUCUCCCAGCCCUCACCAGCCCCAGGUGUGCAGGGAGCAAGGUGAUAAACCCCACAGUGAUGUCCCUGCUCUGCACUGCCACGGGCUUGUUCCUGUGGGGUACGCCUGUGGGAAAACAUGAGGGGCAAAUAGCUCUGUGCCCCACAUAGCAGCCCUGGCUUGAGCUGGCAAUGCCAAAGUCCCUGUCACUGCCUGAUUUCUAGCAGCAGUGUUUGUUCUUGAUGGGUUCUGAACUUUGUAAAAGAGAAUCAGGUUCAGUUAUGUGUGGCUCUCUUCCCUGGACUCAGGCCUGGGAGUCUCAUGGCAACCAUUGGGGGGCCGGGGAACAUCAGGCUGUGUUCUCUGAGGGUCCUGCUUGUCUGGGCACCUUGGCUGUCAGGCAGAGUGCUGCUGGUAACAGAUGCUAGCCCAGGUGCCAAGAGCCCUGCACAUACCUCUGCAGCCUCCACAGAGGAGGCAGAGCCAGGGGAUAGGUGGGCAGGUGUGUUCAGCUUAGGAGAUGCUGCCGCUCCUGGAUUGGUGGCUCUUGUGCUUUCAAUUAGCAUUUUCCUGAGGGCAGAGUUGCGCACAUUUCCUAUAGGCCCCUCUGCCUUUUGUCUUGCUUAUUGGUAGGAACUUUUGUGUGUUCUGGAUUUGGUCUUGGACUUGGGGUUUUUUUGUAACAGCUGUUCUACUUGAUUGGAGGCAGUCCAUGGGAUUCCUAUGUGAGUCAGGACUGGAAGAUUUUCUUUGUCCUCCAAAAGCUGUAUUGUUAGCCUACAUGUGGUGUUGAAGCCCAUGAUCCAGCUGCUCAGGAGGCUGAGACAGGAGGAUCCUAGCUCUAGGCCAUUCCGGGCCACUUAGCAAGACCCGGACUGAGAAGUGACUCAGUGCCCUUGGGUUCAAUCACUAAUAUUCCUCCUGUCCCCGAAAGCCAGUCGUUUCACUUCUAGCAUUCAGAUUUACAGUGUUUCUGUAGUUGGACUUGGUACCUAGGCUGAGUGUGGGGUCCAGGCCCAUUUUUUCAUGUGUGUAUCUGGCCAGUGCAGAGAGCCAUCCUCCAUCACAAACCAGAUCCGUGUGAUCCAUGUGCACAGGGUGUGCUGCCCGUGCAGAGCCAUGCUGUGCACUGCACAUGUCUGCUGUGCUGUCCACCUGAGUGGCAGUGUCUGUGUUCACAGCUGAGGACGUGAAGGCUUGGGUGUCAGGUGCCAGUGGGAGCCCAGUAGACUUCAUGGUCCUGUGACCUCGAGUCCUGCAGCCCCUCCAGUGGGCAGCUGGCAGGAGGUCUCCCCAUUGCCAAGGAGGGGCUGGGCACAAGGAGGCUUCUAGGGGUUUGGCUGGUCAGGGAGCUCCAGGCCCUGGGAGCCCACUUGGCCUUGAGGGGCUGGAUUGUCAUGGUCGUACAGUUUUUCCACAUCGGUGCUUAGACACUUCUCUCUUGUAGAGCGGCCCCUUCCUAUAUGAUGCUGGAGAAGGCAUCCUGAUGACCCUGUGACAUCUGUCCACCUCGGUGCUCAAGACCCGAGCGCAAUGUCCCAGACCCAGGACUAUGAAUGUAGAAGCCAUCAUGUUGACGGGCAGGAGUCCAGGAUCCCAGGAUCCAGCACCAGGUAAGGAAGCGCUGUGUACACCUGAGCAUUCCUGGCCUCAGGUGAGUGGGAAGGAAGGGUUCUUGGGGAGGUGGGUGCAGGACUCCAGGGGGGUCAUGCUCAUUCUCCGGGUCCUGAGCACCUGCACAGCUCCUCACAAGGCUUUGCCAUGGCUGACCUGUGCCUGCCUGUGGGAGUCCUGCUUUAUCCACCACAGCCUCUCACUGCUGCCUUGUCCACUACAGAGGCCACAUGCCCCACGUGGGAGCCCCUGUGCUCAGCAUGGUUCCCCAGGCCUUUCUGUAGGCAUUGGUCCACAUAGACGCAAUAGCCUUAGUACAUUAUUUUCAUUUUCCUAAUUUUCAGCUUUUUAUUAGGAAAUAUUGCACGCUUACCGAAAAGUUACAAGAAUAAGAACAAUCUGGGGAACACUCAUGUGCCCUGGCCCCACAUCACCUGCUCUUAGUAUUAAUUGCUCAAUCCCUUUUUCUGAGUCAUUCUGGAGCAGGUCCAUUUCUUAGGCCCCUGGCCCUUGAGUGUGUGUCCCCUAGAUAACCUGCCCUUGAGCCAGGACCCUUGCCAGGAUGAGCAGAUGUGCUGUUGACACACGGUCUGAUUUCCCCUGCUGUCAGCCCUGUGCCAGCCGAUUCUCUCUGUCCGUGGCAGCACUCCCUGACCCUGUGCAGUGCAGGGUUCCUUGAUGGAUUUUCUUCUGGCUUCUGUGUCUUUAGACUUUUCUGACCUGCAUGAUUUCUACAGCCUCUCCCUGUCUUUUGUGACCCAAACCCUUUUAAACAUGAUUGUCAUCCAUUCUUAAAUAGAACAUUCAAUAAGAGAGGUAGGGUUACAAAUUAAUCUAUAAGGUAUACUCAGCAGGACCUCAUUUACCUACUUGGUUUCUGUUUGUAAGAACUGUUGGUGAGGCUAGGGUUGUAGCUCAGUGGUUGCACUCACCUAGCAUGUGCGAGGCCCUGGGUUCAAUCUUCAGCACCAUAUAAAAGUAAGUAAAUAAAAUAAAGUCAUUGUGUCCAACUAUACUUACAAAAUGAUAAAUAUUAAAAAAAAAAAAAAAAAAAAAAAAGAAGAAGAAGAAAAAGAAGAGCUACUGUUGGUGUGGUUUCCAACUUUCCCCUCAUUCCUAUACAAAUGCAGUCCCAGCAUUUGUCUAAGAGAGGCUGAGGUAGGAGGAUCACAAGUUCAAGGCCAGCUUCAGCGAGUUAGCAAGACCCUGUCUCAAUAAAAAAAUAAAAAGUGGUAUGGAUGUCAGUGGAUAAGCGCUUCUGGGUUCAAUCCAAUCCCAAGUACCAAAAAAAAAAAAAAAAAAAAAGUCUCUGUGCUCCCCACGCAGUCCCUAGCAACUUCCUGUAAGUCAUUGCCUCUCACCAUCACAACUGUCCUCCAUUACUGCAGCUUCCCAGGCCAGUGUUGUGUGUUUCCCAGAAUCUGUUCCGCUGGGCCUGUGCAGUCACAUGCGCUGCUGCAGAAGCAGCCUGUUCCUGUGUAGCAUUGCUCCUUUUGGAGAUGGAUCUUCUGGUGAACUUCUGACGAGGAACACCUGUGAAGUAUGGUGCUGCCACGGCCCACAUAGGGCCUGUGCACUGCACCUGCCAGUCCACCAUGCCUCCCACAGGCAGCUCUGCUGGGGCCUCUGCUGGUAGCAUCUCAUGACUGACGAGGCCGGCAGAGAGGUACUGUGUAUCACGCUUCACCCUGUGCCAUACUCUUUUUCUCCUUUUCCUGUGGAGUUUUUAUUUGUCUGUGCUCUGUUCUGUAUACCAAGGAUUUGAGCCCUUUAUAAUUCAUAUUACAUAUGCCCCACUAAUUUGUCCAAAAAGCAGAAUCUUUUCUGCUUUACUCAUGGCAUUUUUUUCUUGUGUAGUUCUUAUGCAGCUGAACGGGCCAGAUUCAUCUUCCAGCGUGUCUGGAGUUUUAGUCCCCUCCAUCCCGACAUUGGGUUACGGUAUGUUUGGUGGUGGUGCUGGCAGUUCUGUUUGGGGGGGGUGGUCCUGGGGUUGAACCUAGGGCCCUGUGGUCCAAGGAGGCAUGUACUCCACACUGAGCUGCCCUGACCCCAGAGUUCCAUUUUUGCCCUUAUGUCUUAGAUCCAUUUGGGUUUAACCUUGAGUGAGGUGUGGACCCGGCUCUUUGUUUUCCAAACUGCUGCAGCUAUCCCAGCAUCAUGAUUAAAGACUGCCUUUCCUUGACCUGAGACCUCCACAUCCUCUGACCACUUCCUGGGUGUCUUUGAGGAGCUGGGGCUGCUUAAGCUCCUGUGUGACUCUGUUGACCUCUGUCAUGUGCAGGCUUCACUACCUGAUGGAGGCAGUUCCCGAUAGCACAGUGGGGUCUGGCACAGUUCCUCAGUGAGCUGGUCUUCCUGUGUAGUGCCCCACAUUCCCCUUAUGCUGCAGAGGGCCAGGCAGGUCAGCAGUGGCUGAUGGUGUUUUGGCUAUUUUUCCUUUUGUGUGUUUGUGCUGGGGAUGGAACUGAGAGCGUCACACACACUAAGCCUGCCUUCUAUCACAGAGCCACACCCACCCCCAAGCGUGGUGUGUCUCUUUAUCAUUGUAUUGCAAAAGUUCUUCUUUGUUGUGUUGUUUGUUUAUUUUGGUACUGGUGCUCAAACCCAGGAGAGCUCUACUACUGAGCCACAUCCCUAGCUCUUUUGAUUUUUUUUCAUUUCAGGGCCUCACUGAUUUGCUGAGGCUGGUCUUGAAUUUGCAAUCCUCCUCAGCCUCCUGAGUUGCUGGGACUACAGGUGUGCACCACCAGGCCUGGCUGCACAUGUGAUUUCAAUGCUUUGGAUCUGAGUCCUUGUCACAGAUACCGUCUGUAGCGCGUGUGCACUCCUGGUGCAUGGCUGUAUUCAUGUGGUGGUGGUGGUGGUCUGUGCUGGAGGCUCAUCUCUGUUGAGUUCAGUACCUCUGCUGCUUCUCUUGCUGCUCAUGUUUUGGGUGUCGUCGUCUAAUCCAGUACCAGCCCCAAGGUCAUGAAAAUGUACCCUCUUGUAAGCUUUAUGAUUUUAGCUAUUCUGUUGCAUCCUUGACCCAGUCUUCACUCUUUUGUGUGUGGCCUAAAGUGGGGUUACCUUCGCUUUCCUGCAGGGGUGUCUGCCUGUCCCAGCACUGUUGCUGAGACUCUCCUUUCCCCUGUCAAGGGGUCUUGACACUGCAUUGUUGGAGUCUGGGGAGCAGGGAAUGUGCCUGUCUCACCUGGUAAAUUUUGCCUGAUAUGUAUUUGGCGUUCACUGAAGUCAUUCUGGAAACAUUUGUCUAGACAGAUCAUUGUCUGAAAGUAGACAUCUCCAGAACAGGAGCAUUGUGAAGGGUCCUUUUGCAUCAGCACCCAAGGGAUUGCUGGAGAGGACCUGUUUCCUGCUGUCCUGUAGGGGCCUUUGUUUCUGCUGUCCUGUAGGACCCAGGGAUUGCUGCUUCUCUUACCCUUCCACCUUCCUUACCAGAUGAUUUUUUCCCUGUGCAGUUCAUCAUAAAUAUUCUUCUCACCAAAUAAGUCUUCUCAAACACUGCUCAGAUUAGGGCAGCAGGAGACUACCAAACUUCAGCCAUUUCCCACUUACAGGGUCCAGUCCCCACUGGUGGUGAAGCCCCGAAACUCCUUGGGCAGUUCCACAGCUGCCAGUUACGCUCUCCUCACCUGCUUAGUUUGGCACAGUUUAUCUGUCACCACCUACUGACAAAGCUCUUUCUCUGUGCAGUCCCCUUGACCUGGGGGACUGGCAGCCCCCACUGACCCGAUGCUCAACUGGACCAGACUACAGCCCCAGGACAGGAUGCGUGUUCUUCAAUCCAUAGUGCUGAUACCCCCCUUGCCCAUGAGGAGAGAUGAGCAAUCCCAGACCACAACCUGCACAUGCCACAACCACCAGCUGUGUCCCGCCCUAUCCUUAAGGUCCAGCUCCAGCCAGAGUUCCUGGAGCCUCCCCAGACUUGGUACCCCUCUGAGUUCUGAAGUCCCUUGCCUUGGAUGUCUGUGGGUCCUGCCCAUACCUGUCUGGGCAGUGACUCCCUGGGGCCCAGUGUUCUCUACACUUUUGCCUGCCUCUGUUUUCUCAGGAUCCUGGCUGAAUGCCAUCCCCAGGAGAUACCAAGAAUGUGCCUUUGAAAAGCCGGCUCUUGCCACUUGUGCAAGGAAUGCACUAAAAAGGGAACAAAACCUGUUCUCUGUCAAGUCAUGGUUAGUGCAUUAUAUUCACGUUUUAAAGAAAAAUAAGAAUUGUUAUUGCUGCUUUUAAGACUCAGAAUGUCAGUAGUGUGCUUUGAAAGCUUCUCUGUAUUCAGAUUCUCUGGGGAGUAUCCCAACUUUGUUCUGAUAAAAUCUACCACUGGCUAGGAGAGAAAGUGAGAGUAGCAGCCUCAAGGAGUGAAGUGGGACCAUGUGGGCAGCCCCUGCCAGCAUCCCAGGGCCAAGGGACACUGAGCCCAGGCAGUGGCAUUGAAUCUUAUCACAUUCACCCUUGAUCUGUCAUUGGUGUGCUCCCCAAGUUCUGGCCCCAGACCCUACACAGUGCUGCCAAAACCCUUGCCUCGCCUUCCCCGCCCCCUCCUCUGUCACCUUCUUUCCUGGAAAUGCUCCACCCAUCUAUCUGGAAGCUUCCGCCUUGCUCCCUUCAAACUAGCCAGGAGAACCUGGUCACCAAGUCUGGUCGGGCAGCAAGAACCUGGUCCUUCGAGUCUCUGCCGCAGGCACCCCAGCCUCCACCACGUCUGUCUUUACAUCACUGUCAGUGAAUCUGUCUUCUUGGAAGCCCCAGCAGACCUGCUGGGUGUUCUUUGGUCACAAUUGUCACUGCCCACCUGGGUCUGCGCUGACAGAGACAGGAUUCGACUAUCUUCCAGGAUGCAGCGUCUGCAGGGGAGGCUUGAGACCAUAUGCCUCUGGCCACAGCUGCAGCAGGGCUGUGGUCAUGGCAGCCCAUGGAUAUCCCUGGAAAUGAAGGGACCCCUUCAGUGUACCCUGAGACUCUACACAAUGAUCACUUCUGCCUCAGUCAUUGGCAGAAGUUGGCCUUAUGGUUGCUAGUGGACAGAAACUCAAAGACCUACAAAGGCAACUAAAGGCCACUCAAAUUACUGUGAUGGUCACAGGAGAUGGCCAAUCCCCAUGCACUUUUGGUUGCAUUAUUUAUUUAUUUUUGGUACCAGGGAUUGAAUUCAAAGGCAGUUGGUCACUGAGCCACAUCCCCAGCCCUAUUUUGUAUUUUAUUAGAGGCAGGGUCUCACUGAGUUGCUUAGUACCUCACUUGGUGGCAUCUUUUGCCAUUGACCUGUCUUCACAGCCAGGAAGCUCUCUCCCAGCCCACAUUGCUCUGCGUUCUGCAGUAUGGCCAGUGAGAAAGGCCCACAGUUGCCUCCCUGUGCAGCCAGGGGGCUGAAGGGUUAGCACUCAGUGUAUGGGUCAGGACCCUGGGAGUGGUGGCACUCAUGUUGGGUGAAUGUGCUGCAAAUUCAGUCAGCGGCCAGGUAACCAGAAGCAGGGGCCAGUCUCUAAGGCAAGAGUGACACAUGUGUGCCUUGCAUAUGUGGAGCUUCAGUGUGUUUUGGCUUCUGAGGGGUCAUGCUCCUCUGCCUGCCACGCAUCUCUCUCAGCCUCCCGAGUCUUUUGGAGGAGCGGGCUUGACAGCCCUACCCCUCAGGCAUCUGGAUGCACCUGGGUCCUUAAAUCUCCCUCAGAGGCAUCAGCAGGUCUGAGUUCAUCUUGGAUGUCUCCACCGUUGGCCACAGGGGAGGACACAGCUUUAGGACUGCAAAGCCACAGUCCCAGCCCUCACAUGAGCGUGUGCAUGCCAUCCUGGCCCUAUGCUCUGGCUGCUCCCAGGGUCCUCCCUGCCUCUGGUGCACAGGAGCCCUGUGGGCUGUCCUGGCUCCUGAGUUCCACCUGACCUGGGGCGGUACAGGUGCUUCAGGUGCCUGUCAGAAGAGGAGGGGUCUUCCUGGGAGGCUCCCACAGCCGUGCUCCUUGUCUCUGUCCCAACAGCAAGGGGACACAGCCCAUGUAGCCCCUACCCUAGGUACGAAAUGAGGCAGACUGUCCUCGAUGUGUAAUCUGCAGGAUGUAAAAUUAACAUUUUAAAGUAUGGACAUUGCUUGCUUUUUAAAAAUUAUCCUUUUAUUUGAAGAAUGUUAGGUUGAGUGGCAUUUGCCAAUGUAGUGCUAGGGGCAUUUUAAAAUUUUUAUCUCUUUUUAGUUGCAGAUGGACACAAUACCUUUAUUUUGUUUGUUUAUUUAUUUAUUUAUUUGUUUUUAAAUAUUUAUUUUUUAGUUAUAGGUGGACACAAUAUCUUUGUUUUUUAUUUUUUUAUUUUUAUGUGGUGUUGAGGAUUGAACCCAGUGCCUCACGCGUACUGGGCGAGUGCUCUACCUCUGAGCCACAACCCCAGCCCCUGUUUGUUUAUUUUUAUAUGGUGCUGAGGAUCAAACCCAAUGCCUCACACAUGCUUGGUUAGCACUCUACCACUGAUCCAUAACCCCAGCCCCGCCAGGGGCCUUUUGGCCCCCUGCACCAGCUCUGAUGGCUGUGACUUUGUGGGUGUGUGGCAGACUCCUAGCCCACACUGGUCUGUCGUCCUCAGCUGAAAUCUGCGCCUCUAUUCAGUAUUCCUUCCUAGUUCUCACCUAAAGUCCCUCCUGUCUUCAGAUCCCAUCUGGCAUGUGUUCACCGUGUCUCCUUGAUCUCCACUGGACUGAGAGGGUUCAUUAGGCCUUCCUGGGUUUUGUUUUUGUUUUAAUACUGUGGAUUGAACCCAGGAGCUCUCUACCACUGAGCUACACCCCCAGCCCUUUUUAUUUUUUUUCUUUUGACACAGAGUCCCACUAAGUUGCUGAGGCUAGCCUCCAACGUGAGAUCCUCUUGCUUCAGCUUCCCAAGUCGCUGGGAUUACGGGGUGGGCUACUGUGCCCGGGUAGACUUUCCCAGUGUUUCAUGACUUUGACAGUUUUGAGGAGGACUGUCCAGGUAUUUUGCAGAAUGUCCCUCCGUUUGAAUUUGUCUGAUGUUUUUCUUGGGGAGGAUGGCCCCACUGUGUCAAGAGCUCAGUUGUCAACAGGCUUGUCACCGUUGACACCAGUGUUGAUGUGCUGGUGAGGUUGUGCUGUCCGAGGUCCUCUGAAAGGCUCCUUCGCCUCUCUGUCAUGCUCCUCAGAGGAAGCCCACAACUCGGGUGGGGACUGUGUGUGGGCUCCCUGAGGGGAGGACGGGCCUCCCCUCCUCCUGCAAGUUACUGGGACUUCUCUGGGGAGUUGUCUGCCUCCAUCUGAACACUGACACUGAUCCAACUCUUGCAUCCCGUGAACUGUCCUGUGUCCUGGCUCUGAUCACUGGGGCUCCUGUGACCUGGGACGUACCCCUUCUUUGGGGUCAAGGCCCCUUUGUAUUCCCUGCCCCGGGCCUGGAAUUUGCCACUUCUCUGAGGAGCCCUGCCCUGGGUGAGAGAAACCUGGACUCUGGGCUGUGGUCCAGUCUCCUUGCUCAAGCCUCUGCUGCCUAAAGCCAUCUGUUCCCUUGACUGUGCCCCUCAGAGGCUUGCAGAGUUGAGUGUGCAUCCAAAAGCGCCUGGCAGAGCAGCCUGGUUUUCAUCUCAGUGAGGUGUGAGCAUUCCUAGGGGCUAACCUGCUCUUUGCUGAGAGUGGCAGUGGAUUCUCCUCAGGGGAUAUAGCUAGGCUUGGGUGUCGCCACCAACCUGAGUGCCAUCCUUGCUGGCUGGUGUUUUCACCCUGGAUGGGGUUCACCGGUGGGCUUCCAGGCACUUGUGCUCUGCCCCACCUGGCCUUGCAGCCACGCAGGCCUCCUGUGGCUCCUCCACCCCUGUCCACGCAGGCCCUCCUCUUGGCUGCUAGGGAAGGGUCAGGGCUGCCGAUGUGGGAAGGUGAGGUUUCUUCUUCUGUCCUAUGGUCAAUUUUGUGGACUGGUCCUGCCAGCUGGGACCUGCCACCAUCAUUGUCAGCUUUGUUUGCUCAUGAACCUCACAGGGAGCCCCACCUCAUGCCGUGCCCAGUUCCUCAGAUCGUGCAUUGUGGGCUGAUGUGCUGGGUAUGGGCGCCUGGAUGGCCCCUGCUUGUCCCAGGUGUUCUGCUGCUGUGAGCAUGAGUGCCAUGUCUGCGGGUUUCUGCCAGGGCUUCAGCUUAAGGAGCAGGGCCAUCUGUGCCUAUUCACCUUCACAUGGAGCACAGAGCCCCAGGUCUGUGCUGUGGGCAUUUGGGCCUCUUUGGUGGGGCCAUCCUUGUGUUUACAGUGCCCUUCUGUAUGAUUCUGCAUUUUCCUGAGUUCUCUCAUUCCCUGAUGGUGAUGAGUGCCUUCUACCAUAAUGUGCAUGCAGUAUUUGGUGCUACUUUGCUGUUUGGGGAAGUUGCUAAGUUGCUGGGGUUUUGUUAAGUUACCCAGGCUGGCCUUAAGCUUACAAUCCUGACCCAGCCUCCUGGGUCACUGGGAUUAGAAGCAUGUGCCAUUGCUCCAGUCCGCCUGGCUUUUGGUCAUCUUCACCUUCUGCAUGCUUGGCUAGGAUUUUUAUUGGAUUUCAAUCCUUAUAAAGGUGAGCAGAGGUGUCAGCCACUGUGGUCUUUCUAGGGGACCCUGUCAGGAAUGAUGUGUGCCAUCCUCGGGGUAGACUCUUUCCCUGGUUCUUUCCAUGGGUUUUAUCUGGGCCCCUUCCUGUGGCAGGCUCCGAGUCUUCCUCCAGCCUGCAGGUCAGUGCUGUGCUGGGCUUCUGGAGUGAGCUCAGUGUGAGGGAGUUUGUGUCACUGGGGCAUCCAUGGCAUCCGUGUCAAUGACAGUUUUGUGGCCACUACUCUCUGUUGAUGGAGCAAUGCUUGUGGCCUAGAAAACCCCUGCCCCUGUGCCCUAGGGUGAGGGUCCCCAUAGCCACAAGUCUGUAAGGAAAGCUCUGAGAUGACCCUGAGCUUGGUUAUUGAGGUGGGGCUGGGUUAUUGAGGUGGCGCUCUGAGUUUCUAGGGAGAGCUCCAUCUCCCAAGUUGUGGCUGAAAGACAUGCAUGGUGCCCUGCAGGGGGGCCAGGACCUUGGGGAGGCAGGGGUGGUUCGAGCAGUGGGCAGGGCCAGUGUGAGUUUUCAGCAGUGUGUGAGCCAUUAUGCAGGCUGGAGGGGUGGGAGGAAGGAAGACCCAUCGUGGUCACAUUUGGGUGCCAGGUUUGAUCUGGUCACAAUCUCAAGGGCAUGGCUGUGCUGUACGGUGCAGGCUUCAGGAAGAGGGGCACCCACCCACCCUUCUUCCGAACACACUGACUGUGGCCAUUUUUCUUUAUUUGUGUGAUACUUGGAUCUUUUUUCCUGGGUAAAGUGGGCUGUGUAGGGGCCCAAGAGAAUGCAGAUUUAAGACUUGAGGUGUGUCCUGGGAGAGGCACAGCCAGCAACGUCCUUGGGCUGGUGCCACUUGAAGCCCCAGCCUUCCCUCCACACAGUGCUAAGCUGCAGAGGGAAGAAGAGAAGGUGGGUCCCUUUUCCAGCUAUGGGAGGUCUCACAUUUGUGUUGCAAGAUGAGGGGAAGGUUUCCGGGGAGGAUCACUGGAACAGGUGGGCACAGGACCACACAGAGCAGCACAGCUGCAGUGUGACUUUAGAGGGAGUAGGAUCAUUCAGACUGGUUGUGUGGAGCCAGGUGCUGGGAUACCCAACCUCACCCUGGGUGCCAUGGCAUGCUGAGUGCUCCAUGGAGUUGUUCACUGGCUGUGGAUGCAGAGAAGGAAGGGAGCCAGGGAGCUGUGGUGCUGGCCAGAAGUGGUGAGAGUCUCUGCUGUGCUGUGAGUGGGGGUGGAGGUGUACAGAGAGGUGCAGAUUGAGGGACUAAACCACAGAACCAGGCAAGGCCCAGAGACAGACCGCCGGCACAGAGCAUCUGAGGCUGGAACAAGCACCAGCAGCUGGCCAGUGCCAAUGGAGUAUGCUGAUGCCUGUCAGUGCUCGCGCCCUAGACCUAGCCCACAAACGAGAGGGACCUGGGGAUGACCAGUGCUCCCUGCACCAGUCAGUAGGCUGAGGGAAGAUCCCACACAGGUACCCAAGGUUGUGAAUGGAAUUCAAGGACCAAUUCUAAGAUUCAUAAAGAGAGAAGUGUUAUGAAUAGCCAAGGGCUGGGUGUGAUGGUGACCCCUGUGAUCCCAGAGACUUGGGAGGAUAGGGCAGGAGGAUACAAAUUCAAGGCCAUCGAGGGCGAUUUAACGAGAUCCUUUCUUAACAUGAAAAGGGAUGGAGGAUUUAGCUCAGUGAUCAAGCACCCUGGGGUUCAAGCAGUACCACAGACAUAAUUUUUUUUAAAUAUUUUUUUNNNNNNNNNNNNNNNNNNNNNNNNNNNNNNNNNNNNNNNNNNNNNNNNNNNNNNNNNNNNNNNNNNNNNNNNNNNNNNNNNNNNNNNNNNNNNNNNNNNNNNNNNNNNNNNNNNNNNNNNNNNNNNNNNNNNNNNNNNNNNNNNNNNNNNNNNNNNNNNNNNNNNNNNNNNNNNNNNNNNNNNNNNNNNNNNNNNNNNNNNNNNNNNNNNNNNNNNNNNNNNNNNNNNNNNNNNNNNNNNNNNNNNNNNNNNNNNNNNNNNNNNNNNNNNNNNNNNNNNNNNNNNNNNNNNNNNNNNNNNNNNNNNNNNNNNNNNNNNNNNNNNNNNNNNNNNNNNNNNNNNNNNNNNNNNNNNNNNNNNNNNNNNNNNNNNNNNNNNNNNNNNNNNNNNNNNNNNNNNNNNNNNNNNNNNNNNNNNNNNNNNNNNNNNNNNNNNNNNNNNNNNNNNNNNNNNNNNNNNNNNNNNNNNNNNNNNNNNNNNNNNNNNNNNNNNNNNNNNNNNNNNNNNNNNNNNNNNNNNNNNNNNNNNNNNNNNNNNNNNNNNNNNNNNNNNNNNNNNNNNNNNNNNNNNNNNNNNNNNNNNNNNNNNNNNNNNNNNNNNNNNNNNNNNNNNNNNNNNNNNNNNNNNNNNNNNNNNNNNNNNNNNNNNAAGAGACAGCCUGGUGCCUUCCUCAGUAUCAAAACAAAACAGAUUCAGGGCUGCUGCCUGAGGCUUGGACAGGCAGCAGUGACAGCUAUGCACCUUUCUGCCCCCCAGUUAAGUUCUUUGCUUCUUCCCAUGUGGCAUCAGGGCUUAUAGGUGCAGGAUCCACCUGCAGCAGCAUUACUUCCCAGGAAGGCAGAUGCAAAUGCAGACAUUUGUCUGUUUUCUGAGCAGCCCUAUCCCUGGACUGGUUCCACAGUCAUUGGAGAAAGACCAUGGAUGUGAUGAAGGUCCCCUUACUCUGGGCCACCAUAGGGUCAGUGAGUGAGGGAUGAUGGAGGAACCAGCCAGGCAGAGGCAGUGUCCCCACAGAGAGGCAUUCCAAGGCUGUAGAGGGUUAUUCUUUCCAUGUAGAAACUUGGAAGCAGCUUAAAAAUGCCAGAUGUCACCCAAGCACACCCUGACUUCAAACACACCUGUUUUCAAAUGGUCUUGUCUGAUGCUUUAAUUUCCAUUAUUCACAGGUUAUCUUUUUAAUUAGAAAAAAACAUUAUAAGGCUGGAGGCUGAGCUCCCCAGUAGAAAGCCCCCACCCACCCCACCCCACUGUGUAGAAGUGGUGGUGUUCCUGCUCAGCGAAAGGUCACCUGGGACUGGUGGGCUUGGGAUGGCUUUGAGAGUGGGGUCCUCACUCUCACCCGUGUCCCCACAGGCUGGAGUGGGUGGAGAUCAUCGAGCCACGUACCCGGGAGCGCAUGUAUGCCAACCUGGUUACCGGCGAGUGCGUGUGGGACCCUCCGGCCGGAGUACGCAUCAAACGCACCAGCGAGGACCAGUGGUGGGAGCUCUUUGACCCCAACACAUCGCGCUUCUACUACUACAGUGCCGCCUCGCAGCGCACUGUGUGGCACCGCCCGCAGAACUGCGACAUCAUCCCGCUGGCCAAGCUGCAGACGCUGAAGCAGAACACAGAGUCCCCUCGUGCCUCGGCUGAUAGCAGUCCUGGCCGUGGCAGCCGCGAUGGCAGCACUGGCUCCUCACUGGAGCCCGAGCUUGAAGCCACGGAGAGGGCACAGGAACUGCCCACAAGGGCAGGGAGGCCCGCAGCACUGGGGACCCCAAAGGAGGAGAGUGGCAGGUGAGGAGGGUCGGGGCUGGCCGGCGCUGGGUGGUCCCCCUGGGAGGGGGUGGCGUGGGGCCUGAAUGUGGCUGCCUGGCCGCAGCUCCUGCCUCCUGGCUCUCCACUUGUGAACGGUAAUGAGGGCUUGGGGUUUCUGGCGGGUGAGGGGAUGGCUGUGACCCAGCUGAUGCACAUUCUGGCUCCUUCCUCCCCAUUUUGCUCAGGACCUGCUCUUUGUUGACACUGUCCUUAGUCACCUGGAUUCCUAGAUCCAGGAGCUCAUUAGAGAAACAGAACCUGCUAGGCCCAGAAAUCCUGGUGAGCUGUCAGGAGGGCCCUCCAGUGGGUAUUUUCCUGGCUAAUAGAGUCAUGACUUUGGUACUUGACUUCUGUUUGUUGGAGGGUUGCCCUUCCUUGGCAUAGCCUGGGGACUGAUUCUCCUGAAUCCCCCAGGAGGGGGCUGCUGCUGUUAUUCUCAUUGUACAAGUGAAGAAACAGGUAGCUCAGGUGCAGGACCUUACUUGCAUUGUCAGGCAGAUUGAUCUGCAGUGGGAGCCUGUGGUCAGGGUCCCCCAGCUACAGAGGCCACCAGGUGUGUGUCUGCUUGGUCACAGACAUUUUUGUUUUAUGCCUCAUCGGGAGCAGUUUCUUGUGUUGUGCAUCCAGCCGCUGGCCUUUUCUUCUUCGGGGCUGACCCUCCGUCAGUCCCUUUCAGGUGUGAUGUUCAUGUAUAGAGUUUGGAUUUUGUUUUGCAUGUUCCAUGCCUCUGCACGAUGUGCUGGGUCUGCUUCUCACUCUGAACACAGGGAGCACAUGGAACCAGCUCUUGCUGCCCUUCACCGCGGACUCCCCUGUCCUUGUCAUUCUGGCUCAGCUUAUCCCUGGUUGGUUGUUGUGAGCAGGAACAGGGUCCCUGAGGGUAAACACAGCAGAUGAGAGGGUGAGCAGCCCCAGCAGGGCAUAUGGCAUCCUAAGGGAACAGCAGGGUGAUGAGACUGCUGUUCUUCAUAGACAGAGGUGCUGCCAGACUUGGACCUGGAUUGCACAUACACGAUUUUAAUUGAGCAUAUUUGUCACUUGGCAUUUACCAGAUCCUGUUAGAUUGUUCUCCUGGUGUGUGUCUUUUAUCAGGCAGUGCCUUGCAGGUUGGUCACACCUGACUGAAGGUUAGGCAGAAGCUCCUCAACUGCAGUCAAGUAGGUCUUGAAACAGAAGUUUCCGUUAUGCUUGCACAUGCAUCAGAGUCAGAAAGAUUCUGCUGGGACUAUAGCUUCAGCUUGGAAAACACCUGCUACACAUGCGUGUGGGAAUGGGUCAUGCCUCUGGUAAUGUUCACAGGGUGGUAUGUGGAUAAAGCAGCUCAACGUUGCUUGUGACUGAGACAUUAGUUGUCUUUGCAGUGACUGCUGUAGUGUGUUUCACAGGCUGUCACCAUUUGCCUUGUGAUUUUAGGCUGAAUUCAUUAAGAAACGUUACCAAGAGUCUGCAACAAAAACUAAUCUCCAAAGCCACUCACAGUGUUUAAUAGUGAUCAAAAGAAGUUUUUCACAUUCAGAAAAUUUGACUCAACCCUGAGUUUUUAAAAAAAAAAAUCAUAAUAAAAUAUGUGGCUCCCUGGCUGCUGGGUUGCUGUGUGACAGGAUGUUCAGCUGCUGUCUUUGACCAAAAUAUCCAUGGUACUUAUGAUGGCCAAGUCCAGGGGAUUGGCUUAUGAUGGAUUCAAGUGUUUUCUGCAAAGUACCUACGAAUGGACAGCAAGUAACCCUAGGCUUAUGUUAUCACAAGCUUUGUAAGUGGCCAGCCAAGCCUUUGCCUGGGCCACAUAUGCUCCCAGCACAAUAAUUUGUGACUCCACUUAAUCUCCAGGUGUGCCAAAUUAAUGUUUUCUCAGGUAAUUUUAAGACAGGACCUCCUGAAGUUUCCCAGGCUGGCCUCAAACUUGUGAUCAAUCCUCCUGCCUCAACCUCCCAUUGUCACUGGGACACCACCACACCUGACAUCCCCAGCCCUUUUUAUCUUUUUAUAUUUAUUUAUUUAUUUAUUUUCGUGCCAGGGAUCGAACUCUAGGGCACUCGACCACUGAACCACAUCCUCAGCCCUAUUUUAUAUUUUAUUCAGAGACAGGGUCUCACUGAGUUGCUUAGCGCCUCACUUUUGCUGAGGCUGGCUUUGAAUUUGUGAUCCUCCUGCCUCAGCCUCCCAAGCUGCUGGGAUUACAGGCGUGCGCCACCACAUCUGGCCCUUUUUAUUUUUUAUUGAAGACAGUGUUUUGCUAACUUGCCCAGGCUGGCCUUGAACUUGCGAUCCUGCUGCCUGUGCUGCCUGAUUGGUUGGUAUCAUAGGUGGCAUCAAGGGUUCUUUGAUUAUUUAAUUAUUAAUAUAUAUUAGUUUGAUCAUAUGCCUUAUGAAUAUCUGUCAAGAUAAAUGCUCACUCUGUCACCUGCUUCUUAGAUCUCUAUUGAGUGUGCCAAGCUUGGCACUCAGGCACACACAGCCCCAUGAGGGUCUUUCUAGCUACGCUUCUUCCUUAGGCCAUCCCAUCAGUACUGGUUGAAGCUGUGACUCUCACUGACCCAUCUCUGGAUCCUGAGAGCAGCAGCUCCCAUCCCAGUGGUUCAGGUUCCUGAAACACUAGACAAGGCUGGUUUCCUGUCCUGGCAUGUGGCCUUUGGAUGGGUCACCAUGGGCUGACCCUGUGGGAGGAGGCAGGUGCAGGGCAGAAGAAAUACCCAACAGCAUUAUGAGCAGAAGCCAGGCCAUGUCCUCCCUAGUCAGCUGAAGGGCACUUAGGUUCACAUCUUUUCCAUUCUCCUGUGUUUCAGUUCGUCACCACCAGGCGUAAUCCUCGAGAAGGACUAUGAGGUUUACCGGGAUUAUAGCACGGAUGGCCAGCUGCUUCACUACAGGUAGACCCCUCUACCUCCCCAUAUCCAUCCACUAUCCCGAGAUGGACUCUUGGGUGGGCUGGCCUGGGGCACCUGGAGCAGAGUCUGACUCAGCAGAAAGCCGGGGCAGUGCCCGCCCUAUGGUGGCUUUGGAGGCUGCCAAAAUGGCUUGGUAGCCCCGUCUGGGAAGACUCUUGUCGCUGCCCAGAACAGAUAGCUGUGGGUCCUGGGUGCGGCCUUUGUCCCCCAUUGGAAAAGUAAAGUAUGAAGGUCCCUGGCAUGUGGUUGACGCCUGGGUCACACUGGCUACUCGUGUCAGAGUGCUUUUCAAUCCUAGUCCGGAAGAUCCUGUUAGUCCUGCAGGGGAGUGGGCCUCGGCUCACUGUGCGGAGCUGGAGGACCCUGAGGGCCAGCCCUCUGCCCACUGGUCUUCCAUUGCCUCGUGACUGGUUGGCUGUAGGGUCUCAGGGCCAGGGUCAGUGAUGUCCCUGGAGUGACCUGGCAAUGGUGCUGCAGAGGGUCGAAGGCCUGAGAGCCUAGGCUCCUCCUCAGACAGUGGUCUCUCUCUCAGAUUCGUGUUUGUGGAACAUCAAGAAGGGCCUCGAGCUGCCCUGCCCAUACUGUGACCCAUGACUAUGGCAUGCUCUGUGCUCCUCAGGCUUCAUUCCCCGUCAUAAGAUGAGUCUAGCACUGUGACCCAGCACAUUCCUGGUGGCUGCUCAUCCUCACUGUGGUGAGAUUGAUUUUGGCUCUGGCACAGGCCUAAGCUUCCCCACGACCCCUGCAGCACUUUCCUGGACUGUAUGUAUGCUCUAUAUGGCCAUGUGCCCACCUGGCCUUUGGCUGAGCAUUGUCACAACCCUGCUAUCCCUGGGGAGCCAUUGUCCUUUAAAAGAGCCUGGCAGCAUCCCCAUUGUCACAGUAGGCACCUGCAGAGCCUUCAGUGAGGUGGGUCCCAAAUAGGACAAAGAAGACCCUCUGGGCCUUUCAGGUAUCACAGAGAUGGGUAGCUGUUCCAAUGUUCUCCCACUUGCCAAACCUCUCUGGCAGCUGAGCCGCCCUCAGCCCUAUGGGACCUCCUCUAGCCACAUGAGCUGAUGAGUCUGGUCUUUGCUCUGGGGCUCCUUGCCCCUAGCCCCUCAGCCCUCUGGUGGCCACUGUUCCUGUGCCUGUUGCUCGUCUUGGCAGCCCCCAGCCUCUCACCCUGCUAAUGAUGUUGCCUAUCAGAGACCCCACUCAGACCCCUGGUGUGGUCCACCUGCUGGCUGGACCAUCCAGCACAGGACAAGCAGUUGCAUUUGUAAGUAAAUAAAUAGUGAUUGGAGAAGUAGACCAUCCCCAGUGUUGACCUCUGGGUGAGGUACAUCUGAGACCCACUGGGCUUAGCUGCACAGAGGCAACCAGCAUGUCUGCCUAGGUGGGGCCUGCUCCUGAAACUCUUGAGAGUGCUCUGGCCCUCGGCCAGUGUGGUGCUGCAGCCUGGUGUCAUCUGUGACCUGCUGGGGGCAGUUCAAUGCCAGGCAGCUGAGCCAUCUCCUCCUGCCCCUUCUACCAUUACUGAGACCUUGGGACAGAGACCUGGCGAUAUCUGGAAGACGAAGCAGGUCCACGGGAGGGCUGCCAACAUGUGUGCCAGCAGAUGUUGUAUUCUAUCAGGGAGGUGGAGGGAGGAGGUCAGACCCCCUGCUGAGACGUUCAGGAUCCUUUCUGCUGAGAAUCUGUAUUCUGUGUAUCACCUGAGCAUCACCUGAGCAGACCUGGACUGGCACUCACAGAUCAUAGCCUGCUCAAAAGGGAGAUACACAUGCCCAUGCUGACCCCCCAGUUCACUUGUGCCACAUAGCAUGGGCAGAGCAAGGCUCCUUGGAGGUGACAGCAUCUCCCAGGUGGAGUGUGCCAUGAGGAGACCCAUCCACUCACCCACCUGCCCAGCACCCCGCACGAGGAGGCCUCAAUGCAGACACACUGGAGGCCGGGUGAGCUGCCUGGCUAUGCAGUCAGUCCUGUGUGCCCAUCUGGCCUUGAAGUCCCAGAGCUGGCACUUCUCUCCCAAGCUGUCCCCGGUGGUGCAGAUGGUGUGAUGGGAAGUGGGAUGGAAGGAAUCACAGUCAUAUGAACACAUUAUUGAGAGGAAGCCAGGGUGAUCCACGCUGAGAGAGGUGAAGCUAUGCCGCUGCUGAGCCUGGCGGGAGCAUUCUGGUAUUCCUGCGGCCUGGGACUGCCUGGGACAGCAGGCCUGACCCCAGCACUGAGGCUCAAGGAGUGCCACAUCCUGGCCGCAAGAGUCUUUGUUGGGCCAGGUGUUAGUCUUUGGGAUCCCCGUGCUGGGGCCAGCUGUGGGUUUCUUGGGGAGAACGAAAGUUCCAGAGACAGAGCCCUAUCAGAGCCAACUCAGGCCUGGGGUGGGGACAGUUUGGGGAGAAAGGAAUAGUAGACCUGAGAAAGAUCUAGAAGGUAAAGGAAUGUGGGGGAUCAUGUGAGGGAAUGAAGAUGUGUCCCAUGAGAGCCCCCAAUGGGAUGUGGGGGUGGGCACACUUGGAGCUCAGCCUCCAGAGAGACCUUAGAGCAGCCUGCAGUUGCCUUUGAAGUGAUGCACUUACCAGAGAGAGUAGGAAGAUCAGAAAUAGCACCAGCAACUGAGGAGGCUGAGGCAGGAGGAUCCCAAGUUCAAGGCCAGUCUCAGCAAUUUAGCGAGACCCUGUCUCAAAAGAAAAAAAAGGGCUGGGCUGUGGCUCAGUGGUAUGCCCUUGCCUUGCAUGUGGAAGGCCCUGGGUUCAGUCCCCAGUACAGGUGCCUCAUAUCAGAGGGACAGUACAGGGUCAGCUGGCAGGACUGAGGAGGAGGCACCCCUGAAGCACUAGCGACUCUGUGCGGAGGGGAGGCAAGAAGGGAACUGUCCAGGAGCAGGCUGUGCCACCUCAGAGGUUGUUCAGAGAUCAGGGCCCUCAGCAGGUCAAGGGCCGGGCAGCCCCCAGGUUGUGAGUGAAACCCCUGGCCACCAGCCCAGGCAAGAGGAGCCAACAGAGGUGGGAGCUGCGGAACGGAUGGCCAGAUGGUCACUUUCAGGGAUUGUUUCUCCGUAUGUCGUGCAAGCACAACUCUGUUUGGACUCAGGCUGCAGUUGCUGGCCUGCCCUUGUCCUGCCAGGCCUCUUGCCUCAGCAUGGUAGAGGGAGACAUUCCAGCUUUGGUUCUAGUUCUGGGGUUUGGCUUUGUGCAGGACCUCUCCAUUCUUCCUUUGAAAUAGCCUUUGGGGAAAUUGCCCUGCAGGGCCCGGAACAGAAUGAGUCCUUUGACCCUGGCUAGCCUCCCUUUUGGCAUUUCCAGAGGCGGUGGCUGUGCCAGGGUUUCCUGCUCCCUCACUGUCGAAACCAACCCGUGAGGCAGAGAUAGGGGUCUUUCUGCCCCUGUCUGCUCUCUGGUGCCUUCACCUGUCAGAGCUGUCAUUGGAACCAGGGAGCUGAGGAGAAGGAUGUGCCAGAUAUGGGGACAGUCUGGGUUUAGGAGGAGGGAAUGUGGGGGGAAGGCAGACGCACCCGAGAGGAAGCCUGACAGGACUGCAGGCAACAGAGCCAUCAGAGCCAGUGGCUCCUGGGACAGAGGCAGCAUCACAGUUGUCAGGGCCUGCAAACUACCAUGUGAGGCUAGGACUGUGGAGAGCAAAGUGGUGGAGUGGGCUGCAGAGGGGCCCAGCCCUUGUGGUGAGCUUGGAGCUGCCUAUACAGCAGAUGGGGAACCAGGAAGUGGGCAGGGUGAGAGAGCUCUCAGAUCAGAAGGUAUGCUGGACACCCAUGGGGUGGCCUUCACUUGGCUGCUGCUUCAUCUUAGGUGCACUUCCAAGAAAGGCUUCACUCUCUGAGCCAUGGUACCUGUGACCAGGCUCCCCCGAAGGCUUUGGCCUCCUCUGAGAACCAAACGAGACUUUGUGCAGGUGCCCAGGACACACGCAGCCUUGGGGGACCACCUGCGGCCACCUCCCUAGUUCUCUCCCACCUCUGCCCUGCCUGGACAGAACCAACUGCAGUGGCUGAAAUAGAGGGCAUUCCUGACCAGCAGGCUUUUCUGCCUCUCCUGACACUUGCUUCUGCCUCAGCAAACAGGAGCAGAAACUCCAGGAAUGGGGGCCUCCUCACCCAGGCCAUGAGGAGCAUGGCCUGCAGCAUGGCUAUUCUGAGUGGUCUCACACCUGUCACUCUGGAGUAGUCCCAGCCCCACAUCACCUGUCCCAGGGAAUGAGGCAUCAAGGCCUUGUCCAGAUUUGCCUCAUAUCAGAGGGACAGAACCUAGAGAUCAGACUCACAGCUGGGUCACAGAGAUGCUCUGGGCUUUUCUUUGCCGACCUCAGACCCACGUUCGCCCACUGACAGCUGGAGAAGCUAACAGAAUACACAGAACCACUCUGAAGUCCUCAGAGAUGUACUAAGUGGUGAGGUCUGGAGACUGCUCCUUCUCAAGCAGUCCCCAGGGCUGAGAAGCUAAGCAGACCCUUGGAGCUUCCUCUAGUUAACAUCCAACGAGUCCCUGCUUUUUCCUUGACUCCUCAAGGGCCUCAGAAAGAGGAGGAGGGUGAGCCAUGAGCAGGCUGCCCUCAGCAUGAGCCCAGCCCCAGUCAGCUGGGCCCCACCCUCCUCAAGGAGAUGCCCUCCUAACACCUGCCAGAAACUAAAGUAAGCCCAGAGCUCAGAUUGCCAUGAUGGCUUUUCAUGAACAACAACCAGAAUUUCAGUCUAAAAUACCAGAGUUGAUCAGAAACAGAAACAGAUCUACCUUUUGGGAUUACCCGAAAGUUACUUUAAUAAAUAUCCAAUGUGAAAGAUACUAAAUGGAAAUUUUUUUAUCUUUAUUUAUCUAUUCAUUUUUUUUAUAUGGUGCUGAGGAUCGAACCCAGCACCUCGAAUAUGCUAGGCAAGCGCUCUACCACUGAGCCCCAGCCCCCUAAAUGGAAAUUUAAAAGAUUCAAAUGUGUUUUCUAGAGCUGAAAAACAAAAACCAGGAACACAAUAGAUGGUGCUAAGGUGUAAAUGUGUGUCCCCUUGUUGAGAUGGGCAAAGUUGCCACUUAUGCAGUCGAGAGGGAGAAAUAAAGAAUGUCCAUGUGCUUCUGCCCUUUUCAAUGUUUUGUUCACUCAAAUCACUCAAUACAAUUUCACUCUAUAGGUUUUUAAUCAAGAAAAUGAUGGUCCUUGAUGCUGGGCACUGCAAUAUUCAUAAUCACUUAACAACAAAUAAUUCUAAGUUAACUCUAAGCACUGCAAACACACCUAAUCAUGACCUAGUUAUUACAGACAUUCCCUCUGCAUGCUAAACUCAAGUGCCAGGUCUAGAGUCUCACGUCUUAGGCUUUUAAGUCCAGCAGAUGCAGUCACUCAGACCGCAGUGAUCAGAUCAGGAACCGAUGGAGGCUCCUGGUGUGGAGUUGGUGGCCAGUUGAGGGGAGCGUAAUAGGGAGAUGUCACCAUUCUCACCAGAGCAAAAAGCUAUAGAGUUUGAGAGAGGUGAGGAAGAUGCAGGGGAUCAGGCAAACGAUGAGAAGAGUGGGGAUGUUAGCCCAGGUCCUCAUCAGGCUUUCCGGCAUGUGGGCAUCAGUGUCAGCUGGCUGAAUGUUCAUUUGCUCCAUCAUUUAUACUAAAUUUUGGGGCUCCUUUCGGUCCCUGUCAGCUGUUACCAAGUUUCUUAGUGACAUCUUACAUUUUAGAGUCAGGACAUAUGGUUUGGUGAUUUUCCACCCUGAUCUUCUUAUACCUCUGACUCUUAUCAAGGUGAAGGCAAAUGAUAUGUGACUUCACCCUGACUCUUACCAGGGUUGUGGAAAGUGACUUGUCUUUAUCAGGCUAUGCCUAAUUGACAUAUCGGAGGGAUCUGUAGGCUGUGCCUGGUGGGAUUGCAGGUCUGUUUUAAAAUAUAGUUGCUUAGGCUAAGGCCAUACUUACAGUCAGGCUAAGGCCACCCUUACACCCCCCCCCCGCCCAAAUUCCUUUGUUGAAUAGCUUGAGGAGAUGGGGUCUAUGGGCAUAAAUGAAGGAAUUCAUACUUGUGACAGAGGAGGGCACUGUCCUUAGGAGGCCCCAGUGGGUCACUGUGGCACCUGCCUAUAAUCCCAGUACUCAGGAGGCCGAGGCAGGAGAAUCAAAAGUCCAAAGCCUGCCUAGGCAAUUUAUUGAGACUAUCCCAAAAUAAAAAAUGAAAAGGGUCUCGCACACAUCCCGCAUGAGUGAGGGAAAGGGUUCCCCUCCAGAGGGAUGGGCUGACUGAGAAAUAAAAGCUAAGAAAACAGUAGUAUGAAAUAAACACAGGACACAGAAAUAUAGUUUCAGAGCGGGGGCAGCAACAGGCCAAGCUGAACAUAGGGUUACGGCUUCUAGCAGAGAUGGAGCCUGCAUUUGCUUUAUUUAUAGCAGUACAGAUCAAAGGGGAUUGGGAGGAGUCUUGUCUGGUGCUUGCUUCUUCACGAAAAACAAGACGUGGUGCGGGUAGGCAGGCUGUUUGGCUCUUAACCACAGUCGUGACCUUCUCCUGGGUUGUGUGCAACCUUUUGGCAGAGCUGGGUGGGAGUUCACAUGUAUCAGACCAUCUCACCCGCAGGAGCGCCAGUGCAAGUUCCCAGACACCCGACCUUCCCACUCAGUAGCUUCAGUGCUGAUGUAGUCCACGCACAUUUCACGGAUGGCUUCCUGCAAAAAGGACUGUACCUCAGUGGAGGAGUACCCCUGGAUUUAAUCCCCGAUACCAUCACCACAACAACAAAAAGUAAAAGGUCAAAGAGAGCUCGAACCUCCCCUGGGUGAGAACACACAGCCAGGCAUCACCUGUGAAACAGGGAGGAGUCCUUAUCAGAUACUGGAUCUGUCUGUGCCAUGACUGGGUACUUCCAGCUCCAGAACUAAGUAAAUAUCUUGUUUUUAAACCACUCAGUCCAUGGAAUUUUGUUAUAGCAGUAUGAAUGGAUCAAAACAAUGGAUUUUAAAUUAGAUUAAACAUAGCUGAGAGGAGAAUUAGUAAAUUGGAAGACAGAUCAGAAGAAAAUAUCAAUUCUGAAGUAUAGAGAAGCCCGGGAUGGGAAAUACAGAACCCAGCAUGAAAACCACAGGAUGCAGGGUGAAAAGGAUUGUAAUUGAAUUCCCAAACUAGAAGAAAUAUAAUAAACAUAAUAUUUGAAAAGAUAAUGGUCAGGAUUUUACCAAAACUCAUAGAAGAUGUUGAGCCACAGAUUUAAGAAGUGCUACCCCUAAGUAUCCUGGGGUAGAGAGUGUGAAGGAGGGACGUGUUCUGCCCCCCAUCAUCUCUCCCCAGCAGUGUCCUGGGUCUGGCCCCUAGCUACAGCUGGUACCACCAUGGAUUCAGGACCUGUGCCAACCUUGGGCUCACAGCAGGCAGAGCAUGCAAAGACAUCAAGUCCACCAGCAGUACAGCACUGGGGCAGAGAGCAAAUGAAGCUAAGAGACCAAAUGUCCAGCAUGAACCCGCUGGGGGAGGGGCCAGGAUGUAAGCAGUAUAACUCCCAGGAGGCUGUGGGUACCCUUGGCCUAAUGCAGGCAUUAGUGGGUAGGUGGGGUAAAGGGAGGAUUCAUAGGAGCCUCUGGUGAGAAAUGGGGUCUUGAGUUGCUGGCAUAGUGUGCUGGUCUCACCUGGGACACUGGUGAACACCCCUAUACCCCCACACACACACACACACACCAACUGUGUGCUCAGUUGAGUGGUCCCUGGGAAGGCCCCUUUCUUUCUCAUGAUAGCUGCAAAUCUGUGCCUGGUGUUGGGCGGGUGUAGAGCAAUAUGGGCAGGAGAGCUCCUGGGAAAGAGUGCCACAGGGUUCAUAGGGAGCACCGCCUUGAUCAGGGAGGAUGCUGUGGGACCACCAUGCCAAGUAGUGAGAUGGGGCUAGCCUUCUCCACUGCUUCCCUGCAGGACCUCCUCACUUCGGUGGAACUCAGGCACCAAGGAGCGCAUGCUCAUCAAGGUCGCUGACAGGGAGCCCAGCUUCCUCACUCCUCAGGGCAAUGGCUACUCUUCAGAUGGCCAGCCUGGGAGCCGCCCCCGCAGACCCUCUGGCAGCCAGCAUUCGCCCAACCUACAGACAUUCACCCAGGACUCGGAAGGCGCUGUCUUCUUCCCUGAGAGGCGACCUUCGCCCUUCCUGAGAAGGGCUGAACUCUCCGGGAGCUGCUCCCCACUGCUCACGCAGCCUCGAAAGUCCUCCAGUGACUCACAGCCCUCUUCCCCACGCUAUGGCUAUGAGCCCCCUCUCUAUGAGGAGCCCCCUAUGGAGUAUCAGGCCCCCAUCUAUGAUGAGCCCCCCAUGGACGUACAGUUCGAGGCUGGUGGCCCCUACCAGGCUGGCUCCCCACAGAGGUCGCCCAGCCGCAAGCCCCGCCCCUUCUUGCCCGGGGCCAAGCAGGCCCCUGCCUCCCCCUGCCAGCAGCUGGUGCGCACUAAACAGAAGUGCCCUGAGCGCUUCCUGAGCCUGGAGUACAGUCCUGCAGGCAAAGAGUAUGUAAGGCAGCUGGUGUACGUGGAGCAGGCCGGCUCUAGCCCCAAGCUGCAUGCAGGCCCCCGGCACAAAUAUGCUCCCAACCCUGGUGGUGGCUCCUACUCACUGCAGCCCAGCCCUUGCCUGCUGAGGGACCAACGCCUAGGGAUCAGGUCUGGAGACUACAGCACCAUGGAGGGACCCGAGCCCCGGCUGAGCCAACCACCCACACCACUGCCCCCAGCCCAGGAGGACACCAUGUCUUGGUCCAGCCAGCAGGACACCAUGUCUUCCACGGGCUACUCCCCAGGCACACGUAAGAGGAAGAGCAGAAAGCCCUCUCUGUGCCAAACUCCUGGCGCCCCCUCCACGGAUGGCCCAGGGGACCUACUGGGUGAGCAGCCUCUGGCUGAGGAGCGCUCUCCAUGUGGGCCCAGCCUUGCCCAGAUGAAGCGUGCAGAGGCUGAAGUGGACGUAGCACGGGGUAUGGCCGAGCCUUUCCUGGCACAGGCGCAGCUGGCCUGGGAGGCACAGCAGGCCCACUUUCACAUGAAGCAGAGGGGCAGCUGGGACUCCCAGCAGGAUGGCUCUGGCUACGAGAGUGAUGGUGCUGUGCCACUACCCAUGCCCGGACCUGUGGUACGUGCCUUCAGUGAGGAUGAGGCACUGGCGCAGCAGGAUAGCAAGCAUUGGAAGCGGAAUACUUUCGAGAAGCUCGGCUUCCCCCAGAUCCUGCUGGAGAAGAGCGUCUCUGUGCAGACCAACUUGGCCUCACCAGAACCUUACCUCCACCCCUCACAGGUGAGGAGUACUUGGUGGGCAGAUGGGGACCCUGGGCCCAUAAGACCCCCAAGUCCCAGCCUAGAGCCUGGGAUCAGCUGCAGGCAGAAUGGGGCUGGGUGCACCUGGCAUCCACAAGGUGUGUGUGGCACUGAGCGUGUUCAGAGCCUGGCCUCUGAACGUCCAGCACACCACUGGCAGGGAGGGCAUCUUCACGGAACACCCCACUCAGGCCACCCACCACCAGGCAUAGGGCUUCCUGGACCUUGGCCACCAGGGAGUUUCAAGCCUUGCCUACGGGACACAGCAGCUGAGGGCAACUGGCAGCCAGCUCUGGGACUAUUGUACUCCUGGGGAGCUGGGCAGGUGGGGCAUCAGCAUUCUUUGGUGGCUCUGGAACUAUCUCCAAGCACGUCUCCCUCAGGCAGGAAGAGCUGCUAGUGAGGUAGUGACUGGGUGGUUGCCAGACAUCACAGCCAGAGCUGGAGCCCAAGCCCAAGCCCAAGCCCAGCCUGCUGUGUCCUCCCCAUACAGUGCCAGAGCACACAUCAGUCAGUGCCCCACAGAGCCCACGAGUACCUCUGUUCAGCAGCAGGUACCUGAGUGUCCACCUGCAGGUCUUCCCUUCUGGAGAUCACCAGGCAAUUCAGAUUUGAUGGCUCUAAUGUCCUCAUUCCCACUUCUAGCUUCCACCUUUCACACUGGUUGACUAGAGACACAGGCCAAGCCUGAGGGUGACCUGGAAUCUGGUUGGUUUGCUUAGUGGGCCCAGGUUCCAAGGAAGUUAAAGUGAAAAUCUUAAGGCCUCCUGGACAUGUAUGGCAGGCCCACCUUUGCCCUGCUGGGGAAGGCCUCUGUGACCUGUGGGUAGCCAGCUUCCCAGGCCCUUCAGGCUAGUGAGCUCAGAGCCACAUCCAGCCAGACUUUCCAUCCACUGCUCAUAAACUGGUAGGAUGACAGGGCAGAUGGGAGAGGCAACCUUGGGAAACAGUGAGCAGACAGAAAGCUACCUCUAAUGGAAUGGGCAGGUCAAGAGCAGAGCAGAGGGAGAGACCUGCAGAGGCCAGGCCCACUGGGGUCCUGCAGAGAUGGGAGCAGGGCUCGAGAGCCACCCCUGCCUGUCCCUGCCCUCUCUCCCUGGGUACCUGACAGUGCAGCUGUCCUGCUGCCACCCCACCUGGGGUUUUGAAGCUCAGCUUCUUGCUAUGUUAGACUGGCCACGCCACACCUGGCUGGCUCACACCUCUUGGGACUGUGAUCCAAGUGGGCCCAGCUGCCCACUCCAUCCCUACCCCCGAUGGCACAGCCCAUUUGUCCUUCCCAGUCUGAGGACUUAGGAGCCUGUGCCCAGUUUGAGAGCAGCCGGCAGAACCGUAGCGCGAUGCCCAGCUCCAGCUGUGUCUUCCCCACCUUCACGCUGCGCAAGCCCUCCUCAGAGACGGACAUCGAGAACUGGGCCUCCAAGCACUUCAACAAGCACACCCAGGGCCUCUUUCGACGGAAGGUGUCCAUCGCCAACAUGCUGGCCUGGAGCAGUGAGUCCAUCAAGAAGCCCAUGAUUGUGACCAACGACCGGCAUGUGAAGAAAGAGGCCUGUGAGAUCUUCAAGCUGAUCCAGAUGUACAUGGGCGACCGGCGGGCCAAGGCAGACCCACUGCAUGUGGCCCUCGAGAUUGCCACUAAAGGCUGGAGCGUGCAGGGCCUCCGGGAUGAGCUCUACAUCCAGCUGUGCAGGCAGACCACCGAGAACUUCCGCCUCGAGAGCCUGGCCCGUGGCUGGGAGCUCAUGGCCAUCUGCCUGGCCUUCUUCCCGCCCACACCCAAGUUCCACUCCUACCUAGAGGGAUACAUCUACCGGCACAUGGACCCUGUCAAUGACACCAAAGGUAAGACCCAGUGUGCAGGACCCUUGGCACCCCUAGGGUCUGCUGCAACUGAGGUAAGGGCUGUGGAGAGGGCUCCCAGCCAUUCUGGGCAACACCCGCCCAGUCCCCUAUCCUCACACCCCACCAGACCUGGCACCACAUAGGAGUGGUACUUCUAAGAAGAUGCAUGUCCCCUAGGAGACCCCACACCCAGCUUUCAGUGGUUUGUGGGCAUCCUCAGGGAACCCUACCUUGGCUCUGAGAAGAGCCCUAGGCAGCCCUGGCAGAUGAGGGCAUAUGGCCUGCCCUUUGAUGCCUGCCCAGUUUGGCUUCUGUCACCCUGCAGUAUAAGGGCAGCUGCACCGUGAGGCUUAAGCUGUGUAUUCUAGGCAGGGAGGGGCAUGGUGGCCACAGUGCAUCUGCCACAACUCAAUCACAGGCUUCCCACACACAAGUCUGUGGAGAUCAGCUGGUCUCCAGGGCACUAUGAGCUGAGCUGCCCUGAGGGCCAGAGGUUCAGGCCAGCACAGGUGUCCACUUGCUGAUGGCUGCCAGGUGUCAAAUAGAAGGCCCCCAGAUGGGAUGCACUAGGUCUGUCGGGCCCAGGCCGUGGUGUUUCAGCUGGGCAGUCCCCAUGUGAUAAACUAGUGGCUGGCCCAAGCCCUGGGAUGGACAGAGUGGGCAUGGGGCAAGGAUACAGGCAGUCCCAGCUGUAGCAGGCUGUGUCCCACAUGAUGCUCGUGAGCAUCUGUAGGACACAGCCGUAGCAUUGACGGCCAGACACGCAUACUUGUGUUCAGGUACACGUACAUGUACAGAUGCAUCCCUGCCAGGGCGGACAUGUUAGCUCUUCUGGGUUGUCCAGCCUCUGCUGAGGUGGAAACUGUGCUCCCUUCUAGGCCUUGCCCCCAGCUCAGGCAUGGGAAAGGCAGCUCUCAGGCUGCCAUGGGGCCCUCAGUGUGCAUGCAAACUUGAGGGAGGGGGUUCUGGAGAAGGUAUGUCAGGCACAGGAACCACCAGCUCCUCAGACACUUGUAAACAGUUUUGGAAAACAUGCUAUUCCUGCCCAUGUGUGCACCUGCAACACACAUUGCAGCAGAUACAGACUGACCUGGGGCCUGGACUGCACUGGGGCCUCAGGGACCCCAUUCCUUGAUCUUCUUGGACCUCUCUAGGCACUGGUAUAGUCCUGGGGCUUCCUAGGUCACCAUCUUGCCUUCUUGAGAAAGGGCCUUGACAUGCACCUUGACAUGGGAGCUGUAGGAAUGUGUCUGCACUGCUCAGGACAGCACUGGGCCCACAGAUCCGAGAGCCUGCUGAGUGAAAACCAAGUGAGUGGGCAGUAGUUGGCAAACAGUCAGAGGCCUGGGUUCCUUGCUCUGCCUGGGCCAGCUGACCAGCAAGUAUGUGGCUGGGCCGUCCCGCCAUCCAGGGCUUCCCAGAAGAGUUUGUGCUUUAGGCCCCAUGGAGGAGCCCCCAGGAUCUCCCACAUACAAAGGUACGCAUACUUUUCUCUUAGAGUCGCACACCCACAGGGCCCUGUGUUGCACGUCAGAGGGAAGCAGGCUCAGCUUUGAGGCUCCUAUGUAAGGCCCACAAGGUCUCAGAGGACCAUGUGGGCUACAGGGGGAUGGGCUCUGUGUGGUUCUGCUAGCAUUCAAACUGCCCUCACAGCCAAAACCCCAUCUCUAGUACUGGGGACCCCAACCUAGAUUUGCCUGUCCAAGGUUGUACUCCACCCUGAGCCCAGAGAAGAGACUUCUACACACAAGGUGGCCGCCCCUUCUUCAAUAGGCCUCAUGUUCACUCCAGACAGCGCACAGUCCCUGGGAGAUGCCAGUUUCCACAUGUAAGAAAUAUUGGUCAAAAAUGUGGUACUGCUGGGGGUGGUAGUGACACCUAUAAUUCCAGCUACUUAGGUGGCUGAGGCAGGAGAAUCACAAGUUCAAAGCCAGACUCAAUAACUUACUGAGACCCUGUCUCAAAAUAAAAUAAAAAAGGUUGGAAUUGUAGCUCAGUGUAGUAGUGUGUCCCUGGGUUCUAUCGUAGUACUGAGAAUAAAAAUAAAGAAAGAACAUGGGUCCUGGCUGCCUUAUCAGCCCAGAAAGAUGUAGACCAUGCUCUGGAAGACCAACCAGUUGACCACAUAGCACCUAGAAGAAUGAGACCACAGCAGAGGGACCCAUGAUGAGGGAAGUGCUCGGCUUGGCUCCUGGACCUGGCACUGGCCCUGGCCCCGGCCCCGGCCCCGAACCCGAACCACUUGCCUUGGCCUCAGGAAACUUGAUCAACUUGUUUAUCAGCAUUCGUGUGACCUCCACUCUGUGAUCACCAUCCCAGGACCAAGGUACUAUGAGGUAACCCCCAUUUAACCUGUGUCAGGCACUAGGAGGUUCUCCUGGUUGUCCUCAGGAGCCCCUCAGUUAGACUAACCCAGAUGGGGAGGGUGCUUGGCCCUGGAUCAGGAAGCUACAGGAGCCAGGUGUGUGGAACACACCUGUGGUCCCAGCAACCUGGGAAGCUGAGGCAGGAGGAAGGACUAGGCAGGUGGCUCAGUGGUGAAACACCCCUGAUUCAAUUUCCAGUACCCCGCCCCCCAUAAAAAAAAAAUAAGAAAAAGAAAUUGCGGGAGAAGUCCUGCAAAUGCCAUGGGAGACUGAAGCCUGGAGGGAUUCUAGUGCUGCCGAAGCUUGUGCUCUCGGUGAGACUUCUGGCAAAGCACAACAGGAAGUUAGCAAAAGGGCGGAGAUGAUGAAGAUGGUAGUAGAAACCAACACAAGGGAACACAGAACAGUGGCUGAUGAAACAAAAAACUGAUUCUUGGGUAAAUCUACAGCCAAACUGACAAGGACAAAAUGAGAGAAGAAAUGAAUCACCAAAACCAAGAGUGAGAGGUCCUGCCACUGCAGGCCCUGCAGGUGCUGAAGGGGUAGCAAUCAGGUAUAGUGAACCUUUUGCUAAGGAAUUCAAAAUGGACAGAUUCCUCAGGUGACCCAGGCUGCCAGAGGUCACUCAAAGAGAAACAGAAAAGUUAUAUGUCCAGUAAGGAGAUUGCAUUUGUACCUAAAAAUCCAGGCCUAAAUGGCUUCACUGGUGAAUUCUACCAAACACUUUAUUGUUUGUGCAGCAAUUCUGUGGAAUGUCUCCCAGAAAAAUGAAGUGGAGGGCUGGGGUUGUGGCUCAGAGGUACAGCACUCACCUAGCAUGUGUGAGGCACUGGGUUCCAUCUUCAGCACCACAUAAAAAAGAUAUUGUGUCCACCUAUAACUAAAACAUAAAUAUUAAAAAAAAAUGAAGUAGAGAGAAUGUUUCCUGAUUCACUCAUGCUAAAAUUAGAGAAGAACAUUAUAAGAAAGAAUCCCUCAUGAACAAGGAAACAAAAAUUUUAGCAAUAUUUUAUCAGGUUGAGUACAACAGUAUAUAAAGGAGAUAAUAUAUCUUGACCAAGUGAAGUUUAUCCUAGGAAUCGAGGAACGAAAGAUAGGUUUAGCCAGGGGUAGUGGCAUACACUGUCAUUUCAGUGACUCAGGAGAAUCUCACAUUCAAGGUCAGUCUCAGCAAUUUAGCAAGGCUCUGUCUCAAAAUAAAAAAUAAAAAGGACUGGGAAUAUACCUCAGUGGUAGAGCACCUCUGGGUUCAAGGUUCAAGCCCCAGUAUGGGGGGAGGGGAGCAAUCAAUGGAAAAUGGAAACCAUUUUAACAAAGUAAAAAAGAGUAUAUCAUCUCAUAAAAUCCAACAUUCCAUUCUUGAUCAAAACUGAACAAACUUAGAAGAUAAUCUCUUCACCCUGAUUAAAGGCAUCUAUUAAAAACCUACAUGGGCCAGGGUGUGUGGCUCAGUGAUGGAGUUCUUGCCUAGCAUGAGAGAGGCCCUGGCUCACUCCUCAGCAACUCAAAACCAAAAAAACAACUACAGUACCCAAAGGGAUUUAAAGAAGGUUUCAGACACACUUGCACAUGUUCACAGCAGCACUGUUCACAGCAGCCAGUAGGUGGAAGUGGUCCAGGGUCCACCCACUGAGGAAUGGUGAGCACAUGUGGCAGAGCCAUGCAGAGGACAUCAUUCACCCGAAGAAGAAUGACACUCGAUAGGUGCUGCAGCAUGAGUGGACUUAAAACACGUCGAAGAUAAGAGCCAGACCCACAGUGGCAAACCUGGUAUGCUACCACUUACCUAUAACUGGAACAGACAAACUGAUACAGAAAGCAAGGUCAGGCAGAGUGAGAGGAGAGAGAGAUUGCUUAAUAGGUAUUGAGAUUUAGCUUUGGAAGAUGAAAGGGUUUUGGAAAUUUGGUGACAGUUGCAUAGCAUUGUGAAUGUAGUUAAUGCCACUGAAUGGUACUUAAAAAAUGGUUCAGUGGCCAAACUUAUGUUUAUAUUUUAUCACAAUUUAAACACACACACACACACACACACACACACCCCUCAUACUUACUAGCCAAAGACUGAAUGCUUUCCCCUAACAAGAGGAGCAGAGCUCGGACCUUCAGUUAUACCCGCUGUGCACAGCAUCACACUGGAAGUUGAAGCUGGAUCUCAAUCAUGAUAAGAGAUAAAAGUCACACACCUUGGAGAGGAGGUAUGCAGUGGUUUUUAUUCACAGACAGUAUGAUCUGCAGAAUACUACUGGAAGAGUAUUCUAUAUACUGAAUUUAUUACAAGAUACAGGACCAAUACAUUAAAAUUUUAUCAAUUUGUAUAUACUAGCAACAAGCUAUAGGAAACUGAUAUUUUAAAAAUACCAUUUACAGUAGCAUUGACAAGUAUGAUAUACUGAGAGAACUCUAACAAAAGAUGUGUAAGACCUCUAUGCUGAAAAGUACAAAACAUUACUGAAAGAAAUAAAUAAAUGGUGAAACAUACCAUGUUUAUGGAUCUGAAACUCAGUGUUGUUAAGACGUCAUUUCCAUCCAAAUUGAUCUAUAGAUUCAACCCUAAUCAAAAUUUAAUUUUUGAUUUUUUUAAUUUUAGAAAGUGACAUGCUGAACUGGGG
rnacentral:lncRNA from 1 species